CUUUUUUUUUCUUCAGCAUGUUCAGUUUGAACGUAACGAUGUACCAGUUUGUAAUCCACUGAAUACUUAAAUGGGGUUGUGGAUGUUUCUACUGUCGUUUUUGUCGUGGUUACAGUUAUUUCCGGAACUGGAGAAGGUGGUGUUUCUUGAUGAUGAUGUCGUGGUGCAAACGGAUCUGAGCCCUUUGUGGAAUAUGGAUCUUCAUGGGAAAGUUAACGGUGCUGUUGAGACUUGUCGUGGGGAUGACACAUGGGUGAUGUCGAAGACGUUCAAGAACUACUUCAAUUUCUCGCACCCCAUAAUCUCUUCAACGUUUGAUCAAGAUAAGUGUGCGUGGGCAUAUGGCAUGAAUGUGUUUGAUUUACGAGCUUGGAGGAAAGCUGACAUUACUCGUGUUUACCACUAUUGGCAAAAGCAGGUAUGUGCUCUCUCGUUUCUGCUCGGUUAAAAACGAGUGACUUGAACUUCUGCCUGUGGCAUACUUCUACUAUGCUAUGUUUGCAAAAUGGAGAAGGUUCAGUUUUGGUAUCGAUCCUUGACGGCGGUCUUUCAUAGCUCAGAUCCAAUGCCUUUGAUGAACGAUAGGUGAAGUUCAAUAGCUUUGGGGUUUGCCUGUCUUGGAGGUGAUAUGUUAAAGUACUGAAUCAGUUCGUGUAUUUGUUCAGAAUCUGCAACUGAAUUUAACGUUGUGGAGGUUAGGGACGUUACCCCCAGCACUGAUAGCCUUUGACGGGAAUGUGCAUCCAAUCCCUGGUAACUGGCACAUGUUGGGCCUGGGGUAUAAUACGAAAACUAACUUAGAAGCUGUGGAAAAGGCAGCUGUGAUUCACUACAAUGGACAAGCGAAGCCGUGGUUGGACAUUGCUUUUCCGCAGCUGAGACCGUUCUGGUCCAAGUACGUGAAUUACUCUAAUGAAUUUGUUAGGCAAUGUAAUAUUUUGGACAGAGCGUAGCUUCUCUUUCAACCUCGUUUGUUAAUUGGAGAAUCGCUAUCAUGAAUUCCUCGUCUUCUGGCUACAAGUCCCUGUCUCGGAGAGAUACCCAAGGUGUCGUAUAGAGGAGGUUCAUGUGAAGAGGCUCAAGAGCAGGGAUGGCAAAGCAUGGGCUGUUGUCGGAGAUUGUAUUGCUGGAUGCGCAAGCAAACAGAGUGGGCCUGUGAUGUACUUGAAUGGAAUGGGGGGAGGUGAAGUUGAAGGCAGAGACAUUACAUGUGAAGAUAGUACCCUUGAAACAUGAGAGGGUAGUGUUGAGGUGAAGGUUGCAGUGGCUUGUCCCGUGAGGAUUAUUCUUGUCACAUUAUUUGCAACAGCUAUAGGGUAUGAAAGUGUUGCAUGUCACCUGAUUUUUUGAAAUAAGGUCAGCAAGGUCAUUAUUGAUAGAGAGCAGUAAAGUGCAUUACCUUGACUUGAGUUCUCGUUGUCGAGUAGAAACUUCCAAAUUGGAAUAUGUGUAACACCUUUGUUUCUUUUUAUACUUUUGGUGCUAAUGUCACCCUUAUAACAACAUCGUUUCUCUCCUAGUUGAGCUUGAAUGGAUACCCUUCGGUUCUUAAUCGUGGAAGUUUGGAGCAUAAAUGCUCUGGACACUAAGCAGGAUGUGUUAUUGAAAGAGGCGUAGGUGGACUUUACCGAUACCUUUGAAAAGUGUAGUAGGAUGAUAUUGGUCAAGAUGGUUUGGGAGGGUAAAGUUAUUUUUGCUAGAAAACCAUGUAGUAAAUUUUGACCUGUAUUUCUUCUUAACUAGUGCAUGCUCUGUCGAGUUAUAUUUGUGUUAGCUGCAUUUUCAGUUGUUAACUGGCCGGUUAUUCCUGGAGAACUGGCUUGAAGAACCUAUUGAACGGAGGUGCCCAACUAACUAUUUCAUUUCAGUAACAAUUUCUCGGCUUCGCAACAGAAUGCAAGGGUACUCUCUGAAACUCUGAACCAACGUUGUAUGUGCAGCAGGAUACUCCUUAGCGCUUAGUUCAGAAUCAAAUGUAUUGGGACCAUUGUAGCAAGGAUUGAUGUCGUUCUUUUAGAGGAAAGUAUUUGGGGCACACGGACUUGUCUGCUCAACCUUAAGAAGUCAUGUUCCAUCCACAUGCGCUGGUAAAUAGAAAUUAGCAGCUCAAGUUUGAUAAUCCUACAGUAACUGUAUUUGUGAAUAAUGUUAAUGCUUUAUCAGCUUGUAUUAGUAUUAUAAUGUUGGCGUGGAUUCCAACUUUUUUUUCACUUAAUUCUUAAAUUGCCAGCUUGGUAAUAUCUCUGUUCUUUUUCAUACUAUAAGUUGAAAAUAUUGGCUUGAAUAAAGUCUUAGAUAGCCACAAAUAAAAAAUACUUUUAAUGAAUUGUGUUGGAUGUUCAUAUAUUUCUUUGCUGAAAUUUUAUAGGAAUUUUGCAUGUUGCCAUAUUGUUGUUCAAACCACUCAGAAUAAAACAGUGCUUUGGAUGUCUAAAUUGGUAAAAGAUCAUUUGAAAAGAUGUAGUGAUGAAGGGCGUAUAAUUUUCCGUAGUUAUAGAAAUCAGAAACUUAUUCUCAGCAGUUAAUAUUUUUAGCAAUAGCUAUCGAUUACAUCUUAUCCGUGACGGACUUCCUUUACUAACCAUGCAUGUGCUAAGGGUUGAAUCUUACUUUUUCUUUGCCAUAUACUAUAGGGUGGGUUGUAUAGCAGAGAAUUUCCGACGUGUUCCAUAGUGGUGUGUACUUUUCAGUGAACAACUUUUCAUCUGUUAGUGUGUUAGGUUAGAAUUGUGAUAUUGCAGAAUUUAUGGAUAGGAUACCAGCUUAAAUGGCUUGUAAAAUUUUGUCAGGGUCAUUUGAAUUGUACUUACUCCUUAUCCGCCAAUCUUUUAAUAGUUUCUCGACUAUGUAUUAACUACGAUCACUCCGCUUUGAUGACCGUAUACUCUAUGUUCCGGCAGGUGUAAAUGUUCUGCAUGUAGUGGGCGUGAAAGUUCACAACGGGAAAAGAUGGCCGAGAUAUUCAGGGUUACAUUGAGAAAAUGUUCUAGGAUGGAUUAGCAUGGGUGAAACGUAUGGCAUUUUCGCCUCCAGAAGUGUCAAAGGAAAGCAGUAGCUAAUAGGGUGUUUCACUUAUGUUAGUAACAUUCCGAUAAAAUCUAUGUCAAAUUCUCAACUAACAAGCUUUUAAAGAAUUUCUUAACAUUAACAUGUUGACGUAUAUUCAAACGUGCAACAGCAAUCAGUUUCGGCCGACGCUCGUCACUAUAAUGAAGUACGUCGUAAUCGCUGCAGAUAGAUUUAGACAUAAUCGAAACAACACAAAUGCACAUACGCCACAAACUGAAUGUGUUCUCAAUAUUAAGAUGCAGAAUGGGCAAUGUUAUUACAAAGGGCACCCCCGCGCCAUACCGACGAAAUCCAUCUAUCCUGCUAACGGAGUUCUACAGGAACGGUUAACAUGCAGUUGUGCCUGAACAUACGUGAAACUUGAUUGAUUUAGAUUUCCCGCUGGGUGAAUGAUAGCACACUUCUAACAAAAUUAUGUACAAGGUCAUAGCAUGCCCUACUACCUUGGCAAUAAGGGCAGCCGUAGCUCUGUCCGCCACACCUGGGAGCUCCUGCACCACAGAUCGGCCAUUUCUAAAGCAAAAAUUCACCGAAAAUAAAGUCUCUACUCGUAGAAAGAAAACUACAAUUCGUCGCCAGAUGCGUUUUGAAGUACUGUCGACCAUCUCACGGAGAAAACCUCCAGUACAAGCACUGCGAGUGGUAAUAUGUUUGAAAAUUGACAAGAGGCCAAGAUAGAAUUCUUGCACUUCCCGCGUCCGGUGGGACUUCUGAAGAUAUCAUGUUCACAGGGCACCAAACUCAGAUGCGCUAAUUUCGAAACUGAAACUCACAACUGAGCGAAUCCUGCCGCAAUAGCCAACAGGCUGACGAGAACACCAGCGACGCUGUAAACGGCGCCGGAGACAGCUCCCGAAGACUGUCCUUCCGUCCCUCCGGGUCCGGGUGCAGGCGCACCUUGUGCCAUAACCAUAGUGCCCUGCAUGCCAAGCGACAAGAGGAAGACUGCCGCGACUAUCGCGGAAGCAACAGAAAGGUUGACGAGGGCCAUUGCGACGAGAAGAGCUUUACGCUACCAAGCGCUCGAGAAUCAGCGAAACCAGACAAGAACGGCGGCGAGAGAAAAAAGAUGGACGGUCUUCUGUACCUGGAACCGAGAGGAUGCUUCCUCUUUAUGGGAAAGAGGAAGGAUAUGUUACUGGUAAGUCGACGGGCUUACUAGUAAACGGUAACAUUCUUCGGCAGCAACGUACUCGUGAUGGGUUGAACGGUAACUGGAGCACUUUAUCGAAAUCUUUCGAAUUCGAUAUUUUGGUUCGUUCAAAAAAGUAAAAGUCUACGGCACGGAGAGCAAAAAGCUUUCGGAGAAAACACUGAUUUCGCUACUGUAUGUAUGUAUGUACGUAUUUAUAUGUGUGUUUUGCUGUUUUCUGAUUCUUAUUUAAUCAAUCUAUAUAUAUUUAUUAAUCGUUACCAGAUCACUUUGAUGAUGUAUUGACAUACACAUGUUUGUAAAAUCUUCAAUAAUCUUGUAACUACCAUAGAUUAAAUAAAUUGUCAUAUAAAAUAUACAUUAAAAAAUAAAAUAUACAUUGUAGAUUCAAAAUAAAAAUUUAAAAAAUCAACGCAAGUGUUAAAAUUUUGAAAUUUGAAAAUUUGAAAAUUUUAUUUAAAUUAUCUUUUUUUUGAUUUUUUAAUUUUUUUCUUAAAUUUCUUUUGAAUAGAGAACAAAAAAUCGUACAUGAAGGUUGUUUGGGUGCAGAACUUUAUUUCAUGCUUUAUUUCAAUGCUAGUUAAUUGGACUGAAAGUAGGCAUGGUUAACUGAGGACCUUAAGAAAACAACAUUAUUACCCGGCUAAUGAUUAAAAAGAUCUUUUAAAAACUUACUAAACAAACAUAUGGUUUUUUUGUUAGCAAAAUAAAAUAUCAAUUCUUAUUUGAACAUUGUACUCAAUUUUUGAAGUUUAUUGACUUUCAUUAUAUGCAUUGUUAUUAAUUACAAUCUGGGUUAAGUAUUUUAAUUUAAUCUAUUGACAAUUUCAUUACAAAUUAAUGUUUAAAGAAGUAAGGAGGAUUAUAAAAAAUAUAUUGUAGUUGUUUGAUUUAGUUUAGUACAAAGUGAGCAGAUUUUGUUCUAUGCAACAAUUUCAAUACUUUUUCGCUUUUUUUCUUAAAAAAAAGUUGUUUAAUCUUUCUCAUUUAUAAUUGUUAAUCAUAAAUAAAUAAAUGAAUAAAUAUAAUAUUUCUAUUACCACCACAAUAUGUCACCUACUAAACAUAUUUAUUUAUUUAUUUUAUUUCAAUAAAGGUUAUAUUAAUAUUUCUUAUAUACAUUUAAAAUUAUAUAAAAUUUAACUUAAAUUUUAAUAAAAAUUAAUUAAAAACUCAUAAGAAUUAAGUGUGGCAGCAGUAGCAGAAACUUUGGUGGCAUUAACAACACCCUCUUUCUACAUACAUGUGUAUAUAUCUUGAACUCAACAUUGACCCACGUCAUCUACAAACAAACCAUGAAAGAUGGGAAACGAAAUGAGAAUGCACUUGGUUUCGUCACCACAAGCUGAAUGGAAAAUGAGCCUGGAGGCCUGGUCUCCGAGGAGUACUUACACGAGAGUGGUUGGAUUGGAAAUCCACCGUGCAUCACGCUAUAGCUUCCUCGUCGUCGUCGUUUUUGGGAGUCUGCUGCAGCUCCUCGAUCGAAUUCAUAACCUCGGUCUGCAGAGGGUUUCUAGCUUUUCCAGCUGACCGCAUUGCAAAUUCUUUCUCAACCUCACGCUCUUUCUCUCUCAUGUAGUUUCUUUCUUAUCUUCAGUGGUUGGGUUACAUUCCGGUUCCAACACAACCACGUUGACACAGUGGAGGACGACAGGGGCGCAGCAAGAAAACGAUGUCAUCAAUGCUCUUCCAUUAAAGCUCACUCUGUGGAUCCAGCAAAACCAAGUUCCUGCUCGGUUGAAGCAUCGUGGAGCAUUCUCUUGGGGCAAGGAUCUUCGUAUCCCAGGAACAUCGCCCGUUUUGUGUUCCAUUCGUCACUGCUGUCAUGUCUAUCCUGUGGAGCACUAGUUUACGUUGCAGUUGUAUGGUGAACACACCCCCACCCCCAGACUGAAUCCCAGACAUGCCACGAAAGCAGCAACGAGAAAUGGGCAUAUCCUUGCAUUACAGACUGUGCGGUAGACUCGAUGGUCAUGACAAAGUCACCCCCAGAAAUUGUACGCAUAAUCCGAGGGGAUGAGGAAUGGAAAUUAUGCUGGACAUACUGACAUGACGUGGAAAAUCAGUGCAAGUACGACGUUCAUAAUACUGCCUCUGAACUCCUUAGUGCACUACAGAAUGCUCGCUCUAAUGGCCUCAACACAAAGUUACUUGAGCCAUGCAGAAGUUCUUUUUGGAACCAAGAGGAGUAAGGUAGAUAUCUCCAGGUUGCUCUAGCCCAAGAGGACGAACAAUCUCAACACACGAAGUCCAAACUUGGAAACAUAACGUCAAGAAAGUUAAACUUUGGCUGAAAGUUUCAGACACCAAAAUGACCGAUACUAUCUUUUACUGCGUUUCGUUUGCAUGAAACGAUUAGAAGCAGUAAAAUUACAGCAGAAAAUUCAUACGGUUGGUACACAGGACUUUAGGAUAAGACACAAAGAUAACUAUACCAGCAUAGAGAUAUGUUGAUUAUUCUUCGGUCUAAAACGUAUUGUCAUGCACGAAUUACUAAUACAGACAAUAGAAAGGACGAUUACAGGUUCGUACAUGUGCCUGAGGGAUCCACAAAAAAGGUGAUAUUGUCCGGUUGGAUAAUAAAUGGGCGAAUCGGCUAAUUUCCACAAUAUUACUUCAAGACCUCGCUGUAUGACACAAUCUGCUCUACUCUUCCGUAGAAUGAUUUGCUGCACCAUUUCGGCAGAAACUAGUUUGAGGAAGCGAGCUCUUUGUGCCUGUCACAUGACGUCCAGAAAAUGAACGAUAAUAAUUACGUCACUCCUGGUUUGAGCUCUCCUAAACAAUGACUUAAAUUAUCGUCUGAUACGAUUGAUUCUACAUGAUUUCCUUUAAAUGAAACCCUACGCUUUUGAACUAGGGUGUGGUAGUUCUACAUACUUAGGACUUAGGAUGUGAAAAUAGUUACAUUAGGUGGAAGUAUAUAAUUCCACUUUAUGCAAUGUUUAUGCAUUAAGACAUACUAAUUUGUUAUCUGCAUCUUUUAAAAUUUCUUAAUAUAUUGCAAUUCAUUGUAAGGUCUUUUAUUUGUUUUUUUAUUUGUUUUGUUUUUUUGUUUUGUUUUGUUUUUUUGUUUUUUUCUCUCUAUACACUUUCAAUAAUGCUUUUGUGUCAUGUAAGCUAUAUUAGAAUAAAAUCUUUUUUAGCCCUAUCUUUAUUUAAAAGUUUUGGCCAUUGGAUGGUGAAAUUUGAAUAAAAGACAACAUUCUGCUUGGUAAUUUGAAUUGGAGCAAUAGAAAUUUUUUUCUUUAACAAUUGUAUAUCUUCUUUUAUAAUUCAAAUUUUUAAUGUGUAUAUAGUUCUCUAAAUUAUUUUAUUAAGAUUGUAAUCAAGAUUUUGCAUUUUUUCAAAAAAUCCAAGUUUUGUGUUUUUAUUUUUAAAUGCUUUGAUAUGCUAUUGCCAUAUAUAAGUGCAUUUUUGUGUAAUUCAUGUUGUUUUGUUUUGUAAUUGCUUUAAAAUUAUUAAGUGAAGUAAUUUUAUAAGCUUUCUUCAAAAUAUGUAUGAUUUUUUUGUAAAGUAGAUGUUAUGGAUUAAAGUAUUCUAAAUAUUAGAGCAAUCACGAUCAAUUCCUUGAGCCUUGCUUUUUUAAAACUUCGAAUAAGUAUAAAGCCAACAAUCACUAUUUUUCAUUGUUUAAUCUAACUUGGCAUUUUUUUUAAAAUUUUUUUCCAAAGUCCUAAAAGUAAGAUAAAUAUCUAUAUUUGUAGACUUUAGAAUAUUAAAAUUUGAAUGUGUGACUAUGUGAAGAUAGCAGGUUUAAAUUAGGCAUUGUCUCAUCCUACUUUUGGCAUGUUCAGUUCUACAUGCUACAGAUCUUUGACCUGUUGGACCUUAAUUUUGUAAAGUUUAAUAGUAAUUUUACUUAAAAUUUGUGAAGUCUAUUAGAUUAAUAUCAUUUUUAUGCUAGGAAAAAAAACUAUGCAUGGAGUAAAGAUUAUUAAGGGAUUUAUGCUUAAGAUUUUUAGUUGGUAAUUUCUACACUUGGUAUAUUCUUCUCUAUAUUUUAGACCUCGUUGAAUAUUUUGAAUUAAAUAUUUUUAUCUAAUAUUCACUUAGUUCUUAUUUAUUUAUAAUUUUAGAAAGAUAUAUCAAUUAAAAUCUAUAUUGAUAUAUCAAUUGAAUAAAAUAUUUAAAAAGUGCUCUUCUUAGUAUAAAUGCCUUAAGAAUCUAUUAAAUUAUUAAGAUAUUAAAGGUUGUUUUUGAAUCAAUGAAGUUAAGCUUCCAAUGUUGUAUAUAUUGGCUAGCCGAUAAAUAAAAUAUUUCACUUCUUGUACUUAAGUAUUUGCUUCUCAAAUGGGGUUCUAAGCUAUAUUUUUAUUGAUUUUAUUUCUUAUAAGAAUCCAUUCUAAAUUAUUAUAAAAUAGACAAUGAAUGUUAUAAUUAUGUAGUUGAUAUCUAUACUUUGAUUUAAGAAGUUGAGCUUUAUGGUGCACCAAUACUUUAAUUUUUUUUUAAAUAUUUUCUAUAUUAAGAAUUUAGAAGCAAAAAUUAAGUUUAUAUCUAAACUAAAAGAAGUGCUCAGAAUUAUUUUCAUCUUACUUUUUUAAUCUAUAUCUUUUGAUAUUUUCUGGCCAAAUCCGGUUUAGAUUGUUAAAAAUAAUGUAUUUCUAAAAUUUGGCUUUAAUUAAUUUAAAACUAAAAUUAUCAUUAAACUUAUUUUUUUUUAUUAAUGGUUAAUUCAAAAUUAUUUUUUUAUCUUUUAAAAAUAUUGUUAAAGUAUUGACAUAUUGGUUAAUAAUGAAUUGAUCCUGGGUUCUUGAGAGCACUAAUUCUUUCAUAAGAAUUCAUUAGAAGAUCGUUUUAAGGUUGGAAUUAAGACUUCUCUUAAUGAAAUGAGAUAAAUAUGGUGACCUUUAAAAAUCUUGCUUAAUUGCUCUUUAAAUUUGAAAUUUAAAAAUAAAAAUAAAUAAAUAUUAACUUGAUCUAUUACUUUUAAAAAUAGAAGUUGUUUAGAUUAACAAGAUGAGAGCAAAAUCCAAAGGCUUUUGGAGACUUGAAAACAAAUCUUAAAUUUAUGCAACCACAUUUUUUGAUUAAAGCAAGCUUGAAGAGGAUAGGAUUUUGUUUUGAGGUUUUAAAUCAAUGUAAAGCUUUGUAGAUUAAAAUAAAUUAUCUAAAGGAUGUGAUAAAAAUAAGAAAAUUAUUUGAUCUGAAUUAAUAAAUUCUAACAAAAUAGGUUGAAUUUUCUAUAAGAAUACUUAAGAAAUAAUUUUACACUUAGAAUUAAAUAAGAUAAUGGAUUGAUAAUUUCUUAAGUAUCUUUUUAAUUCUUUAUAAAAUUUAAACCAAUGAGAUCUCGUAUAACUGGUUGUAAAAAAUAACUUCUAGUUAAUAAGUCUUUGAUAAAUUUUGAAUAAUUAUUUUGAUGGCUUUCCAAAAGCUCUGAUAUCUACUCAAUAUAAGUCAAAUAUCUUAUUUUUAAGUAAGGCUUUAAUUGUAUCAUGUAUUUGAAUAAAUGAAAGAAUUUAUUUUAUAAUAUGUUUAAUAAUCUUUAUUAUUUUUUUAGAAUGUAAGAAUUUUAAGCUUAGAGGAUUUGAAGUAUACUUAGGAAUCUCUAUCUUUUUUAUAAAGAUAGAAUGAUAAAUUAUUCCCAAUUUUUAUCAUUUUUUUAAUUCUUAUUUAUUUUUCUUAAUAAAAUUUCUAAGACUUUGGAUAUUUAUUCUAAAAUUGUUUUUAAAAGCUUAAUUUCUUUUUCAAAACAACACAUCUCAUGUACAUAAAUUUAAUUAUAGAUUCAAUUAUUUGACUACAUACUUUCUUAUGUUUAAAAAAAAUUAAAAAAAACUUCUUGUUCUAAAUAUUAUUUUUAUAUAAUAAUAUUUUGGAAUUUAAUAUGAAUUUUAGCAAUUAUUUUUUCUAAGAUUUUUUCUGAUUUUUUAAUAUUCUUUUAUUUUUUUUAUAAUAAAACUUGUUGAAUAUAAUAGUUUUUUCUAAAUUUUGUAAUAAAAGAUGUAUUUUCUUGUCUAUCUUAUAUAUCUAUGAUAGUUACUUUAUUAAUUUUUUUUAAAGGCACUUAGGAUUUUUUGCUUAUUAAUCUUGAAUUUAAGUGCAACUUAGAAUAGAGCUUCUUGAAGCUUCUUGAAGAAAUUUAGAAACAUAGCAUCUACCAAACUGAAAUAAGACAAUAGUUUCUAUAAGAUGUUGACACCUAGAGUACAAAAUCUGUAUAGAUAAAUUGUACUUAAGUACAUCUCAUUUUAUUUUAUUUUAAAAAAAUUAAUUAUAUUAUUAUAAAAUUAAAUAUAAUAUCUUAUAAUAUUACAAGGUUUGAUAAUCUUUCAAAAAUCAUUAAAAUUUGUAAUUAUAUUUAAUAUUUUCAGUUCUUAUGUAACUUUAUGUUUGUUACGAAGAUAUAAUUUUAGUGGUAUUAAUGAAAAAUAAUUAUAUUGAAAAUUAUAAGAGGAGGCAAAUUAUUACAUAUUGGGCAUAGAUCUUGGAUAAAAUUAAAUAGAAGAGAUAAUAAGCAAAAAAUGAUUAUGUAUUCAUACAAAUUAUUUUCUCUUACACUUGAUUUUAUACUUUAAAUUUCUAUUACAAAAAAAGUAGGCAUUUAGAAGACUUCGCAUCUUUCAUCUAAUCAAGUAUAUUAUUUAUAAAAGACAAAACAGCUAGUCUUGCUUCAUUUCCUUCUAGUCUACUACUUAUAUUGGUUUUGUUUAAGAAUUUAAAAUUAGGAUUCAAAAUUAAUAUGUUUCGGUCCGAUUCUUUAAAAAAUUCAUCAUGUAGAAUCUCAAGGAAUUUUAAAACAUGGCUUAUUAGCUCUAAUAUAGAGAGAUUGAUCUUAAUUAAUAUUGCCACAUGUAUAGUAAAAAAAAUCUACAAUUAAUUUUUUUAUGUUUUAAUUUUUAUUUAAUAGAUUAUUUAAUUAUUUUAUUUAUUUCUAUUCUUAAAAACCUAAUUAUUCAUACAAUAUAUGUUCAGCAUUUAGCUACUACUCUUAAAAGUAAUAUUAGAGAUUUUUUUUUCUAUCCACAUUUGAUAAGUAUAUUUAUAUUUAUAUUUAUUUUUUUAUAAUUUUAUAAUUUUUUUUAUUUUGAUUCAAAUCUCAUAAUAGAUAUUUAGAAAAUAUAAGAAAUUUUAAAUCAAUAAUUUGAAAUGUUUGAAUGGUGUUGUUCAAUGCAUCACUAUUAGAAAUCAAAUUGGCUUUACAAUUCAAAUCAUUAUUUUUUUUAGAAAUUUCAUUAAUUGUAACUAAAAGAAAAUAAUGGUUGUAUUGAGAAGAUGCUAUAAGCUAGUUAUCUUGUAUAGAGUUGCAUUUUCUAUGCAAGUGUAUAGUUACUUCCUCUCACUAUACUUAAGGCAUUGCUACCGUUGUUGUCAACAAAUGGUCAAGUUGCUCCAGCUUCCAAACAAGCUCCAAUGGAACCUGCUUAUUAACCUUGGCACCUUGCCUUAGAAAUUACUCUAUAAUUCAAUGGUUGGAAUUUGGAGUGGGAUCUUGGAGGAGCCAAUGUGAAGCAAGUAGGUGGCAUUUUUGUAUUCUAUGAAGGGUGCUUGAGAAUGCACUGGGCACCUAGCUAUGGACAAUAAAAUAGAAUUUGUAACAAGGAAUUCCUAAUAACUCUAAUAUAAUACUAAAAAAAUAUUUAAUUAAAUCUUAAUAAUGCUCAUCUAUCUUUAUUCAAAUCUAAAAGAAGUCUUAAGAAAAUUAUCAAAGAAAUAUAAAAACAAUUUAAAUUUACCUUUGAGAAAUAUGAAAUAAAAAAUUUCCAAAGAAAUAUCAAACAAAACUUGAAGAAAUAUUUAAAAUAAAAAUAUUAAAUGAAUUUUAAAUAAAUCUUAAACAAAUACUAAUCAAAUUCUAAUGAAAUUAUAAACUAAUCUUAACCAAAUCCUAAUCAAAUUUUAAAUUCUAACCAAAUCUUAAAUUGAACUUAAUAAAAUCUUAGUCAAAUCCUAAAUAAGUCCUAAUAAAACUUUAAACCAACCCUAAUCAAAUUUUAAUGAAAUUUUAAACUAAUCUUAACCAAAUUCUAAUAAAAUCCUAAACUAAUUCUAAUUAAAUUUUACUAAAAUCCUAACCAAAUUCUAAUCAAAUUCUAAUCAAAUUAUAAUUAAAUCUUAAAGAGAUCUUGAACAAAUCUUAAAAAAAUCCAAGAAAACUCAAAGUAAAUCCUAACCAAUUUUUAUAUCUAUUUUAAAAUCUCAAUAAAUACUAAUUAAAAUAUUGAUUUCAAUUCAAAUUUCACCCACAUUUCAAUUCACAAGGAUUUAAUAAGCACAAAAAUUUUUAGAAAAAUCAAACUCACUAAUUAAAAAAAAAACUUCUAAACCUCUCAAAAGUUGUCCACCCUCCUUCUCCAACCUAAAUGUUGAUCUUUUAGUAGUGAUUUCUCCUUGCUAAACCAUUUAAUUGCUUCAAAAUUUGGCUGGUGUAUAGAUUUCUAAGUCCAAAUUUCUAUCACUAAUUUUUUGCUUCAAUUGAAUUAGUGGAUUUUUUAAGAUCAUAAAAAUCCUUAUUGAUUCUAAAUUUCAAAACUCAAAGAUCCUAAUCUAAUAAAACUCUCAUAACCUUCGAUCUAAUUGUUUGAUUAACAUCAAAGUUUUUAAACAUAUUGAAGAUAAGCAAAAAGACAAAUUCAUAAAAUUUCAUUCUUAAACGUCCUACAACAUUCAUACAAUAUUCAAAAUUAUUAACUUCUUUUUAUUUUUCAAAAUCUAGAUCCAUUGAGUACAUCUCUCAAUUUCAAAAGCCCUAAAAAACUCAAUAUGUCUUUAAAUCACAUAAAACCAACUCUCAAAAUACCACUCACUAGUUUCUUCUAAAAUUUCACUCUUCAAUUAAUCAAAGAAUUCUAGAAUUACUGUAAGUAUAUGGCUCAAAGUUUGAUUUUGAUCCUAAUUUACAAUUGGUCCUCUUUGGAUAUCAAUUCUUAGUAUUUUAGAAUAAAUUUUGCUAAAACCUAUUCUUAACACUCUUCUAAAGAUGUAAAUAUGAUUUGUUUUCUUUUAUUAAUGGCUUUACAAAGUAAAUUAAAGCAUCUUUUUCAAGAAGGCAAUAUUAAUACUUAUUAAUUUUUACUACCUUUUAUCUAUUAAUUAUAUUCCUAAGAUAAUUUUCUAAAAUAUUUUUAUUUAAACUCUUCUAUAAUAUAAUCUUUUCUUUCUUCUUUCAUGUAAUGGCCAUAUUACAACUCAUCAAUGUUGGACCAUGAGCCUAUGAUAUCCAUCCCUUAGCUGCCUCUAUUUGUGCCAAUGGAUGGUGAUGUCCUUACUUAUGUUGAUGUACUAGACUAUUGCAUCUAUGCCUAUAUUAUUUUUGUAUCCUCUUCAAUAUCUAAAAUGUUAUCAUGUAUAGUUACCAUAUAUGAUGCUAUUCUAUUAUGAUACAUUACUUUAGAAGUGCUAAGUGUCAUUGUUAGUAUUAAUAUUAUGUUUAUUAAGUAUUUUUAUAUACUUAUCACUUUUUAAUAUCUAAUAUUAUUAGAUAUAUUAAUUAAGACAAUCUAAUACAAUCAAAUCCCUAUCAAUUAAAUUCUAAUUUUAUUUAAAUACUCUACUAUUAAUAUCUUAUAAUCUUUUUUUAUUAUUGUAUAGUAUAAAACCUUAUGUUAAUGGCUUUAAUAAUCAACUUUAGAGUAAUUAAAAACAUAUAAAUAAUUUAAUACUUAAUAUUAUUAUUAUUCUAAGUGAAGAUUAACAAAUUCUAAAUCUAGAUGAGCUAAGGGUGUUUGGACCUCAUAGCUCUUAGUCUCUUAGUACUAUAUUAUUGCAGCAAAAAAGCCAACAAUCUUAAGAAUCAUAUUUAUAUAUAUAUAUAUAUAUAUAUAUUCUUAACACUCAAUUUUAAAUUUUAAACGAAAAACUAUUUAUUUUCUAGUAUAUAAAAAAGAAAAUAACAUUUAUGGUGAAUUGUUUUAUUUGAGCAAUGAAAAAAAAUGUUCAAUUUCUAAAUGAUUUUGUACAUUUAUGUGGUUCUAUUAUCUUUAGACAAAAAUAAAAAAGUAAAGGGAUGAUUUUCAGAUUGAUUUAUUUAUUAUUAAUUUAUUCAAGAUAAUCAAUCACAAUUUAAUAAACAUUUGUACUGCUAACAUGCGGCAUUCUGGAAUAAAUUCUUGUUUAUUUAAAACACAAAUGGAUUGAGAAGUAUGUAUAGUGGAGAAAUGUUUUACAAAAAAAUACAAAUGAAGCUAUCAAGUAAUUUGUAAAAGACUGUGCACAGUUACAUAAGAUUAUCAUUUAUUAUUAAAAUUCAGUAAAAAAUUACUAUAAAAUACAUCACACCCAAGACAUCUCUUGGAGAACAAAAAAUAUACAAAAGCUUAAAAAAAGAUAAGAAUUGGAAAUACAACACCUAUAUUUUCUACAAUUACUAGGAGAUUUAGAUUUGAAUUGCUAAAUUAUAAUUUUUAUUUGGAUUAUUUUUGUUCCAAUUUUAAUUUUUUUAAUAAAAACUUUAAUUUAGAUAUUUACAAUUAUAUUAUUCCUUGUUUACUUGGUCCAACAAUUACAAGAGAAUUGCUACAACUUUGAAUAUUUUAAAUGAAUUGGCACACUUAAGAAUCAAUGCAUGCAUCUUUACUUAAGUUUGCUUUGUUUUAUAACAUGUAAAGCCCAAGAGUAUAAAAUACAUAUAAUGCAUGAGUAACCUAAGAUGAUAAAAUUUCAAAUACAUGCUCAUAGGAAGUAUCUCACAUCUUUGAAUUGCUGUAACACACAAAUUUAAAUGAAAAUAAAAUCAUGAUUAUUUUACACUUAUGAAUAGUAUGAGAUCCAUUUAACUUUUUUUUAAAAAAAAAUCCUAGAACUUCUCAUUUACACUCUCUUUUUACCUUUCUCCAUUUAUUAAAAAAAUGUAUAUUUUCAUUUAUCUUAUUUCUACAAAAACACAAUUAUUCUCCAAUCCAAUUCAAAGUAGAACAAUAUUGAUCUAGAAUGACCUUAAAUGACUUAAAAAAUGCUAUCCCCACACAAUGCAAAGGAAUACUAAAUGUAAAGACUGACACCUCAAAUCGCAGCUGUGAAAUGUCAGCCUUGGUUUAUCCUUGUUGUUUAAAAAAAAAGAAAAGGAAAAUAGGAAAAAAAGAAAAUGAUAGAAAAAGACAACAAAUGGAAUCAGGAACAAGAUAGAUAUUCUGAAAAGCUGGAGCAGUGAAGUAAAGUCACUUUUGUGCUUCUUUCAACUUUUCACUAACACAGAAGCAAGUUUUGUUUUACCAAUACACAAAGCUAAGUCUUACUUUAAUAUCAACUUAUGUCAACCAUCCCUACCAUUUUGUUUUUUUCUCCAAACCCAUCUCUUAUAUAAAAUAGUUCAAGGGAUAAACCAAUACAAUAAACCAAAGGAGACAAAAAACCAUAUGUGAUUGGCUGCAUAUCUCAUUGUUUUCAUCGAAAGUGAAGCAAUUACUCAACUUUUGAUGAAAUAGAGAUCAAAAUCUACAUGAUGUUAUUGCAGAUUGCCGAGAUUAGCAUUGCAAGAUCACUAGACAUAGAGUUUGAAAGCAGCACAAUGUGGAACAACAUAGAACAUCGUAAAACAACAUGCAACAUGGAGUUUCACAUCAUGCAAAGCUUCAAACAAAAAAUUAAUUUACAACACAUAAUUUACAAUGUUUUUUUUAGUUGCCAAUGGCACAAGUUUCCACUAGUUACUUAUAAAUUAGGUGCAUGUGUGUUUCAACAUUCACUCUAUAUACUCUACUUAUUGUAUUCAUCAUCCCAUCCAUUUUACCCAAUUUUACACGUCCAUUGAUAACACGAACUUGUUUCAACACCAAUUAUCAUUUUUUUGCACAUCAGAGCGGAAUAUUUCAGGGGAUCUCGUUUGGACACGUCAAUCGAGACCUGAUUUGAGGAUGUGGUUGUGAUUGCGUUCACACUGCGGAGAGUGACGUCGGGUGCGUUGGCGGGGUCUGUGGUCGGUCUUCUUCUUCUUCGGCAUCAGAGAAAAGCAUUCAGUCUGUCUGUCUGUCUUGCUUAGCGGACUUUACUCCUCGUAGAUCUCUGACUGUGCUUACGGAAUACUUCAAUGCCAUCUAAAGCAGUUGGACAUAAGAAAUAAAAAUCCAUGUCUGCGUUGAUUGAUCACUUUUAGCUCAUUCGGAUAACAGGAAUAAUGUCGAGGGAGGGAGAGAGAUUCGCCAUGAAGUAACGGUGAAUCGGUCAUGGAGUUACGCAACGUGCUUCAAGUGCAUGCGCGGUACCUGGGAGCAGAGAAUCGGUUGAUACUAAGAAAUUUACCGCGGGGAAGAUCUGAGUGGCUGAGGAGUUUGGUGGUUUGUUGUCGCUGUCAGUCUAGGUGAACGGAAGAUGGAUAUGGAGCAGGGUGAAAUGUAGCCGCAGGUUGGAUCUGAUUCUGGUAGCAGAGCUUGAAGGUUCUGAGGCAAUGGCGGGGGACGGACAAUCGUGCGUGAGGGUUGUCGGUCGGAAGUAAGAUUGCGUCGCUGGUGUCUCACGAAUUUGGUGCGCUGAGGCUCAAGAUUGGAGCAGGUAGGUUGAUUUGGUGUGGUCUGGAUUGUUUCUGGGUGAGAGCCUGGUUUUGAUUAGGAAAUUUCCACCUCUGCGCUCUCCUCAUUGAAUGCGUUGUGCUGAAAGCGUACGUGAUGCGCGUCGUGCUUCGGGUGGAUCCUGGUAGUGAGCACUGUUUGAGCUUAUUCAAUGCGCAGCGGUAGAGAUCUCAGUGGUUGAUUUAUUUAUUAGUUUAGUUGUUUUUGUUUCUGUUUAUUGUUUGGCACUUGCAUUGUGUUGGGUGCAUCGAGGUGCAACUAGGAUUUAGAUUAGGAAUGAAGCUAACAUUCAUUGAGCUAAGCUGCCGUCAUUGUGUGAGACGUAUUUGAGACAAUUCAAGGUGAGUGAGUGAUUCGAGUGUGCGUCACAAUGAAUCAAAGGGCAAUUUGUCUUGUCUUCCUCACUCUAAGAGAGGUUAUGUAAUGUAGCAAGUGAGUGGUUGGAUAGGUUUUAUGAUGGUAACGGAUAUGGCUAGAAGUUUGAAAACAUAACGCUUGUACAGUUUCUUUGCCCGUUUUGUCUUCUGUCGAUUACGUCAAGCCUCUUUUACUCAGGGCCAGAGUGCAGAGAAGGGCAUCCUAGGAAAUUGUACCAAUUGCCAAUUAUGUUAGUGAAAGAAGUGGUGUAUCAAAAGCUUCAUGCAUCAACCAUCUCCAUAGUUGUUGAAUGCAUAAGCCUUGAAUCCCAAGGAAACUUCAUUCCGUUAUUUAACCAUGCAGUAUGAAUUAUGUGGAUCAAUCCAACGAAGUUGGGUUUACCUCAUCCAAGCACCUACGCUUAGAUUUGUGUGUAGUGAUUGAACUUUGAGUGUUGUUGGUGUGUUUUGCAGUAAAGUGUGAGCUUUGGAUUCUAAUUUUUGAAGAAGUACAAUCCACUUUUCUAUUUAAGAAAGGGAGAAUCGUGCGUGAAGGUGGUAGAGUCCAGUGAUUGUGCACCUAAAAGGGUCGGCUCAGUGUUCUUGUUCAAUCUUUUCUCUGUUUUGGCAUUGGAGCGAGAUUUUCACUGAUUUAUUCGUCUCAAACGGAAGCGUCGCAAUAUGGGUCUCACUAAUGAAGCAUUGAACUUAACAAGUUCUCAGAAAAAGACUGUGGCCGUCAUUAUGAUGGGAGGUCCUACUAAAGGUAUGUCUGCUUACCUUAUUCAUAGGUGUUUGCAAAGAUUGUUUUAGGUCUGUAUCAGCAAUCUGAGCGCAAUCAAGCACUAGAUUCUUCGAGUACGUAGACUCUUUUGUUACUAGAAUAGUCCUGCUGUCGAGAAGUGAUAGUCUCAGUGUAAAUGCAAUGUGUUUUCGGUGAAGUAAGUAACCUUCAUAUUCGAUUAAUUUAGAACGUACUUAUUGGGUUGUAAUAUUCGAAUGAUUUGUAUUGAUAUCUUAGUUGUGAGUAUGUAGGUACUCGCUUCCGGCCUCUCUCCUUCAACGUGGCCAAGCCUUUGUUUCCCUUGGCGGGCCAGCCUAUGGUUCACCACCCAAUUCUUGCUUGCAAAAAGGUACGCACUUGAACUUUGGUAUCUUGAUUUGAGAAGUUGAGGAAUGCCGUAUGAUUUUUAUACGAUUUGAGGUUCAUGGCAAGGUACCUGUUGACUUAUUGUCAUAUGAGUGCGGCAAAACAAGCAGAUGUUUCGAUUGAUGCUAUCUAUUUAAAUGUCUGGAUUAGAAGAACCGUAUAAAACAGAUCAGAUGUAACCACUGAGGCAUUGUCCUUGUAAGUUAAUAUGUUAACUCUACCCUUCCUAUUCUCACAACAAUAUAAAGUUUUACUCUUAAGAAGAUCGUGAACUCUUAAGACUAACUGUUAACCUUAGGAAAUUGUUGUGUUUUAACAAUUACCCGUCGGCAAAGGUCUAAUUGUAUUUGAUUGCACGUUGCAGAUAUUGGACUUGGCACAGGUGUUUCUUAUUGGAUUUUAUGAGGAGAAAGAAUUUUCUCUCUAUAUAUCUGCACUUUCAAACGACCUUAAAGUUCCUGUGAGGUGAGCUAAUACAUCAAUGUGGAGCACUAAUGCUCUUUAAUUGCAAAUUCAUUACUUAAAUAAUAAUAAUAAUAAUAAUAAUAAUAACAAUAAGGAAAAUUUAAAUCUGGUAUUUUAGUGAUCUAUUUGCUCUUUACUCGUAACUUAGCGUGUGGAGUUGGCUGCAGGUAUUUGCGUGAAGACAAACCUCAUGGAUCUGCUGGCGGCCUGUACAAUUUCCAGGACCUCCUCUUGGAAGAUGACCCUGUAAGCCCUGGUUUUUUGUAUCACUGUGUGUCUACAGAGCAUCUUUAACGUGUUUCCAUUUAGGUUCUUGUGAAGGCAAUAUCACGCGUUUGUGAAAUGAUCAUGUUUUAACCAUUAUUUUUUAAUCAAGAGGAUUCAUCUUUGACAUCAAUUCAUCGAAGUAAUGCCGCAGGCAUGUUCAUCUCGAAGUUCGGAAAAUCACACCUCUUGAAAAUUAGCAACACUUGAAUAUUUCUGACCUUGAUAUAAUUCUGGCAGGAUAAUACUGAUAUCUGGUCUCGUUUUUGUUCUGUGCAGACUGAUAUUGUUGUAUUGAACUGCGAUGUAUGCUGCAGCUUUCCUUUGACAAAAAUGCUUGGUAAGCUGGUUGCAAGCAAAUCUAUUAACAAAGUUAUUCACUUUCUAACUUCUUCAGAUCCAUUCACUUUGACGUGGUAGUCUGGAGGUCGAGCGACUUUUGUAAGCAUUGCAGAAGCUUCUCAUGUUGUAUAACACUUGUAGCCCUGCUACUUCUUUGGCAGUGAGUAGAUGUCAUUGAUAACAAUCUCCCCUGCUCACUGAUGUGAUCCACGUAUGUCUGCAGAGGCUCACAGAAACCAUGGGGGUAUUGGCACGCUGUUAGUCAAGAAGGUGUUUUUUUUAAUCCUUAAUAAAUACCUUUGGAUCUUUCUAUCUAAGAAUUUGAAUAUAUCCAAGUAAAUCAUUCUGCACUCGAAAAGAUUGAACAUGAAAGAUUUAUCAAAUGUGUCUUUUGUCUAUAUCCGUCUUUCAUACCUGACGUCAUCUUCUGUGUUUGUUAUUCGUUCGUCUUGUCAGAAGCGCUCUAUUAUUUUUUUGCCGUUGCUGAAUCCAGAAUAGGUGAAUUUUGAUAGUUUUUCUGGAGAAAUACGUGGUCUGCAGGUUUCUAAAGAAGUGGCAAGCGAAUACGGGGAGUUGGUGGCCGAUCCUAAAACUGGCGAGUUACUUCAUUAUGCCGAGAAGCCAGAGACGUUCGUAAGCUUCUGAAUCUAGAAAUUUUAGAAUUAAUACUUUUGAAAAAUUUAAACUGCUUUUAAAACCUUGUUGUAUGGAUCUCUUCAAAAGUUUUCUCUUGUGUGUCUUUAACCACUUUAAUUCUAAUAAUGUUUUUAGAACCUAAUUGAUAUUUCUGCAUUUCCGUAGUGUAUUCAGAGGACAAUCAAAAAGCCACCAGCGAGGUUUUUAAAUCAUCGCAUGAUUUCCUUGACAUUGUGGUUGUUCCACAGGUGAGUGACUUCAUCAAUUGUGGAGUUUAUAUAUUCACACCAGAGAUCUUUAAAGCCAUCGGAGACGUCACAUCAAGUAAGCAUGAAUCUUUGAGUUUCUCGGUUCUCUUUUCUCUUCGUGGGUUUUCUCCUCAUGUACACGAACCUCGUUGGUUAACAUGCAAGCUAUUUUGGAAUCAUCAUGAGUCAGUUUUAUCAAUGAUGAGAGCUUCUGUAAGAAGCUCUUAUGAUAAAUAUGGUUGCAGCCAAACCCUCUAACUCACGUUUUGACUGAACUUAAUCACUUAACAUGUAAGAUAUCUUGCUUUCUUGUCAACUGAGUUGCUCAUACUGGGAAAAUGUUUUUAUUGCCUGAAACCUCCUAUUUGUCGGCAAAGUUAAAAAUUGCAAUAAUACUUGCAGCAAGUCUGAGUCACACGACAAGUUUCGAGCUCCGUCCUACUCCGACUAACAAUAGGUGAGUUUCUUUCUGACAUUGUAGAGGAUUUUUUUUCCUGCAUCAAUUGGUACGAAUAGACUGAAGAAAAAUUUUCUUGAAUUUUGUUCGCCCUGUAUGGGACGAAGUCUGACUACCAUGAAUGUUUUUUCUGGGGAUCAUCUCAAGAGACUGGAUGACGGAAUUUAUUUUGUUGAAACGAUAAUACUGGAACAACAUUUUUGUUCAUUGAUGUUUUUAAUGUGCACUUUUUAACAUAAACCAUGGAAGUUUUCCAGACUUAUGCAAGCUGAUUUUAUGAGGCUUGAUCAAGAUAUCCUUACCCCACUUGCUGGCAAGAAGAAACUCUACACCUUUGAAACCAAUGAUUUUUGGGAGCAGAUUAAAACACCAGGGUGAGUUAUGGAUCUUGCAGUACUCUCUUUAUUACAUGCUUCACUGUGGAAAUUUGUGAAAUUUUGUUGUACCUUCUCCAGAUCCUUUAAUGUUCCAGCUUCUUGGGGACUCAUCCGUCAUUGUAGGGAUGUUAUUCAUUGACUUUAUGUGGAAGAACCCUGUGCAAAUGUCGCCGAAGUAAUUGUUUUUUCAAAUGCUGACCUCAUCUAAAAUUCAACACGUUCAUGUGCUUUUGUGUUGGUCUUUUGGGCUCCCAAAACUAUAGCUCCCAGGCACAUUACUUGUUGCCUUGUUCUGAUUUGUUUGUUUAACGAUACUAUUCACUUUUCUACUAGUUCUUCUUUUGAUUCAAGCUUUUUGUUUUGAGAUCAUGAUGGAUCUUAGUUACUGAUAAUGAAAGGAAUUCAUUUCAGUAUGUCUCUCCGGUGCUCGUCUCUCUACUUAGCACAGUACAGAGCGACUCAGCCUGAGCUUUUGACUUCUGGAGAGGGCCAAAAGUCUCCUACAAUAAUAGGAGACGUUUUCAUUCAUAGGUCUGCCAAAGUUCAUCCAACUGCUAAGGUAAAGGUUCAUUUCCAAUUGGCAACAUGGGUGUGGUUGAAAAUUCAAGUCGGUGAUACUCGUCAACUCCCCGUUUUCUAUGGGUGGUUUGCUAUUAUGUUAGUAAUUUACGCCCUUGCUGGAUCUUCCGCUGUACUAAAGCCUGACUGGCUUAACUGCUGGAUCGUCUGCUUGGUGUUUAUCACCGGGCUUUCAUGAUGAUUUUCUGAUGAAUUGUGGGAUGGUUGUUGACAGCUGGGACCCAAUGUCUCUAUAUCUGCCAAUGCUCGCAUAGGCCCUGGUGUUCGGCUCGUAGGGUGCAUCAUCCUUGAUGAUGUUGAAAUCAAGGUUCGUAUUUCGUCUUUUACUAAAAACACUACAUCGAGACUAUUCUCGUGUCUGUUUAGUGCAGUUCAAUGAAAGUCUUGAAAUCGCUUUGCCAUCACUCUUGGGAUCUGCUUUCAUGACAAUGUUUAUGGACUUCCUCUCGAGGCAAUCACUAACAAUAUGCAUUUUAUUGCUGUGAAAUUCCAACUUGAUCGUUAGUGUGACGAAUACCUCACACGGUAUGUUAGUAGAAGUGCAAGGCCCACUGGUUUGAUGCACGUGUAUGUCAUCUUAGCUUCGCACAUCACUCAGCAUUCUGAUAUGUUUUGAGACAAAUAUUCCAGGAAAAUGCUGUUGUGAUGAACUCCAUAGUUGGCUGGAAGUCUUCGUUGGGAAAAUGGGCUCGAGUUCAGGUUAACUUCAACCUAAUUUUGAUAAUCCGUCUCAAGUAGAAUCUAAAUUCGUCGUCCUAAUCGUGCAACUAAUAAGGCAUGAGGAAUAUCGUUACUUGACGUUUUACGCCAGUGUACUCAGCAAGUUUUGUUUUUAUUUGAAUGUAACUUUUUUCGGAUCAUUUGGUUGUCUGAUUGUUGUAUGCAGGGAGGAGGUGAUUACAAUUCCAAGUUGGGCAUCACUAUUCUUGGUUCGUUUUGCAUAUCCAACUUGACAGGCCUUUUCAUUAGUUGAUUAAUUGAUUUCCAUAGGUUUGGUUUCACACUUGACUCAUUCAUCAACUGGAGAUUUCGUUGUGAUACAUGUGGAAGAUUUGUGGCAUCCUUUUGUGAUCAUCUUCUAGCUUCUACCAUCUUUGCAGUCCUCGUUUGCAAAGUUGCUGAAUUUACUCGAAUGUAUUAUUGAUUUGAAGGAAUUUUGUUAUCUACAGGAGAAGACGUGGCCGUUGAGGAUGAGGUUGUUGUCGUUAAUUGCAUUGUCCUACCUCACAAGACUCUCAACAUCAGCGUCCAUGAUGAGAUCAUUUUGUAAUUGCAGCUGAGGGUUUUGUCAGGAGUCUUAAUAGCUUGAGGUAGUUCACUUAUUAAUCUAUAUAUUGGCUUUGCCAGGAUAAUUUUGCAUUCUUGUAUAUUUGUUAUUAGCUUGGAGGAGGUCAAUAUAGCAGUUUUGCUUGUAAGACUAUUAUUUAGUGCAGAAUAUAUCAAUGUAUUUCAAAUAAGAGGUCAUUUCAUAAAUUCAAGUUGUGCUUAUCUUCGAGGUAGUUGAUGUGAAUAAAUUUGUGUUUCUGUAAUAGAAUGAUAUCUAAUUUUGGAUGCAAAUUUUGCAUGAGAUCCCAUAUUUCUUUGCAUUUUUUUUAUGCCUUUUAGUCCUUUUCCAAAUACUAGACAUUAUAUAAGGCCACAAUUAGGCCGCUAAUCAUGUAUUAUAUUUGUUUUUUCCACCUCUAGUUUUUGCUUAAAGAAAGCAAAGAAGAUCAAAUAUGAUUUCAUAUUGAAAUCUUCCUAGUGUAAACUAUUGAAUUCUUCUUUCUAAGCUAUGUGUGUUAUUUCUUUUACACCUUCUAAUAUAGGAUCUUGAUAGUUGUUGGCUAUAAAGGACAAUUACUUCAAGUACUUAUUAUAAUGUGUUUGAUCAUUAUGAGUUGAUUGUCAAAGGAGAUUAUGGCCAUCUAAUUGCAAAUUGGAGUGGUGUUUAUAGUUUUCUAUUUUGGUUGCUAGAGUAUAUUUGUCCAAAGUCUCAAGAAAUUAGAUCCGUUAUUUCUCUUAGUAAUUUCCACUUGUAGAAUUGAUUAUGUGCAUUUGCAUUGUGGUUGUUAUCUAGUCAUAUUUCUUGAGUGCAUGUUGCAACUGCAAUGUACAUAAGAAAACAUCACUGAUCUUAUACACAAGUGUUUCCAAGGAACAAUCAUAGUUGGCUCUUAUUAGCACCAAAGUGAUGUGCCCUUGUAAUGGCUUCUCUUAUUGAUAUUCAAUUCUUAAUGCCAACUAGGAUUGGAGGUGUAUUAAUGUAGAGUUGUAAGAAAUGAUCUCUUCUAGUUAAUUAAGUUUUUUGUCUCUUAGGAUUAUUUUGUUGCUUUUUUCUAUCCAUAUAAAUUGCAUUCCUUGGGACAUUGGGGUGGGUGUUUUGUAAGAGUCGUGCUUGUUAUUCUUCAAGAUUUCUUCAUCUCCACUAUUUAGUUUGGGUGGAUUGAGAUUAAUUGCUAUUGAAUUCUCUGAAUUAGUAGAUUUGCUAUAUGGUCGUUUUUUAUCUUCUUUCCAAUUGAGUGUAUAGUACUUUGCAUGAUGUUUGGUACUUUAGCAUCUAUUGCAUUGUAUUAGUAAGCCACUAUAUUUGAUAGUGUGUUUUUUUUUGGCUCCUAAAAAAUUAAAUAAUACUAUUAAGUGGAAGAGUUUUGUAAUGUCAUUGACUAGAUGUAGACUCUAGGUCUUGUAACUUUAUUUUUGUAAGUUUUGUAGAAUCUAUGGCAAUCACCUCUCCAAUGCUACUAAAUGCUUCCAUAAAAAAUUGUAGAGUACAAAAUAAGAGUUAGAGUUUCCUAAAUUGAAUCUAAAUUGGGUAUGUAGUAUGAUAAGAGAUUAAUAAAGAUUUGGGAUCAAAGUCAACUUGCCAAAUAGUAAAAAAAAAUCUUAGUUAUUGAAUUUGUAUUGUUUGGAUAAUAUUUGUAUUGUGCCAUGUUCAUUAGUAAAUUGUACCUUAAAGCAACUUCUUCUAAGUAUUAUAGUUGAAGAAUACAAGUUGUAAAGGACAUGGAUAAUCCAUUCAUGUAAUAUCCUUGGUUUUAGAUUUCUCUUCAAGUAUCCUACUAAGAUAUGCCUCUCUUCAUGUAUGGUUUAUUCUUGCAAUUAUUACAUUGUGCUUACGCUAAGGUUAACUUUGAUUAUAUUGUCUUUAAGGUAUGAUUGUGAUAUCUUUGAUUCUACUUGCAUGGGUGUGUUUGGAAUACAAAGAAUUGAUGUGUUGAUUUCAAAUGCUUGUAUCAACAUUUCUACUUUUGGUUUCAUUUGUUAUCCAAGCCUUAGGAGCUUAUCUACCUCUAUGUACUGGUAUGAUAAUCUGAGUUGAGAAUUAGAUUGAAUAAAGUCUUUUGCACCAUCCUAUUUUGUUUGUAUAAAUGUCUUAGGAGUUUCUAUUGUGUAAUGUGUCAAUGCUAAUAUCUUAUGCAAUAAUGUUCUCAUAUAUGAUGGUUGGAUUGUCUAUAGUGUGUUGGAUUGGUUUUGUCAGUAUGGCUCAAGUUAUCUAUCCUAUCUGGUUGAUUGGGGUUUUGAUUUUGAUAAAAGAUAUGAGAAGGUGAUGCAAUUCUAAUAUUCCUUUAAUUGAUGAGAUAGUUCUCUUUUGUCUCUAUUGGAAGUGUACCUCCAUUGUCUUUUUGCAAUAAUAUGUCUUGCUCGUAUUGUAGUUGCAUCGGCCGACACUCUCCCUCCAAUGGAAAAUAGAGAGAUUAAAUCUCAAAGCUCCCUUUAGAGUGUCUUUCCUCCAAAUUGAGGCUUUUAAAGUUAUCAAAACUUAUUUGAGUUUCUUAGAUUGAGUCUACGAAUAGAGGGCUUACUUGUGAAGUUAUAUGGAGAAUUGUUGUUGUGUAUGGUUCCUUUGCCAACUCCAUCUUACUCCCUUGUCUUAUAUGUGUUGAUGCCAUAACUUGUGCCUUGCUUCAUAAUAUGUAUGCUAUUUCUUUUGGAGCACUCUAAGUCUAGCCUUUCUAUGCCCUCUAUCUACUUUCCUCUCCAUUCCUAAUGUUGCACUUUGUUUCUCUACAAUGGACCCUAUUGAAUCUGGAAUUAGAAAUUCCUAAAUCACUCUAAUCCUUCCAAUUAUAUAUUUGCUCAAUGGUUGGGCAUAUUAUAAAAUACAGAUUUGUAUUUCCUACUCCCUAAUCUAUUAGCAAAUUGUUGUGUUGCAAUCUCCUAGAGUGUUGCAGUGCUUCUCCAACUAUUUUCAAACUAUUAAGCUCACAAAUCACUCAAAAAACAAACAUUUUGAUAAUUUCAGAUUGUUAAGGUGCGGCUCCAGAUUUCAUGGAGCCUCACCACUACAUUGCUCUAUCACUCUACGCUCUACCAACUGAGCUAGGUCAGUUGGGUUGUACUGUUCACCUAGCCAAAGAUAUAAGUAUGAUCACUAAACUUUCACAUUGAAAGGUUUCUUUUCCCCUUCGUUACUUGCUUGUGACAUCAAAAAUUUGGAUCAUCGUUUGCUUAUCAAUUUUGUGGUCCUUUCUGUUCUAUUUACCAAAAACCAAUCAAAUUCCAUACUUCAAAUAAAACUACUGCACUAGUUACACUCUGCACAUUAAUUACAAAACCCAAAAAGGUGGAAACAAUUAUUCCACAGUACAACAGACUUAUUCAAACCCACAUUUUAUGUUUGAAAACAAGUUAUAUAAAUUUUAGCACAUCAAUUCACAUGAUGUAUGUAUUCCAAUGUAUACCUCAUGUUUAUAUAAUAUCUCACAUUCAGCAUACAUUUUCUAAUCUAUUGCUAUGAAGUGCUUCCAUUUCAAUACCAAGUGAUAUGUUACAAGUAAUCACAUCAUUUGUGUCCAAUUGUUUUGUCUUUUUCUUCUUCGUCUUCUUCUUUUUUUCUUUCUUGGUUUUAAAAACUUUAAUUUCUUGGUACCUUUUUAAAAAACAUGAUCAAGUCAAUGAGUCAUAUUAAUCUACUUUUGCAGACUUAAAACUUAAGUAAAAGAAAAGUAAUUUAGUGCUUUUGCUGAAAACACGUUCUUAACUCCUCUUCUGCCUUCAUCUUCCCGUGAGCAAUGGUUAGUGGAUUUCCAAAUGAAGCAAACAAACACGUACUUGUCCACAUCCCUUGGACAAAUCAGACAACACACUUUCCUCGUUUAAUUAAAUUAACGACUCAGCUACAAAAAAUUGCAGUGCACGCCUUGGUAAGUGAGAUGGUAAACAGGCAUACUUAAAACAGAAGGUAGAGGUCAACACUGAUAACAAGGCAGAGGGCUUGUUCUGGACACGUCCUCCCGAGAGCAACAGAGCACCACAUGUAGUCGAAGAAGCAUGUGUGAGGUUAUCAUUUUAAGACAACCACUAGACCCUCUGACCACAUCAAAAAUAGGUUAAUACUUACAUUUGGGAGAAUUUGGUGUGAAGACCUGCCUCAACACUCUUAGCUUCCCAAAUAAACUCUGAUUUCACAAGAUGCGGAGUUUCAGCAUGGAGAUGGAGUCUCAAGAAACUUGCCAACUAUAAUAUAGAUAUUCUCUUGGCAGGCCAAGAAACAAGUGGUCCUAGCCACAGUUCUGGUAGUUGAAUUUCUAAUUUACGACUUUACAAGUUAUAUCCCUAACAGAUUCAAAACACUUCGUAUAAUGAUAUCGUAACGACCCACGGGUAGCUGCACUUGACAGAUCUUACACUGUACAUCUCAGAAUCUACCAGAAGACACUACUCUCCCAAUUCCCACAAGGUGGCACGUGAGUUUAACCAGAACCGAAGACAAACUUCUCCUUCUGCACCAAAAUGCAAUCUUGUCACGCUGAUCAUUUGUGCUCGACUCUUGUAGUCGUAGUGACAGUACGUAUCUACCUCCAAGUGUAGCUACCGCCACGAGGAGUCUGCAAUCAUGAUGUCGAUACGAGUAACCCGAGCAUUUCCGGUACUUGCAAAACAUUAACCACCCCAACCUGAGCAUCCUGUUCCCCACUAACCCUGCAAGAAACUUUUGCUUACCUAUCCAGGAGCUAGGGUCUGGUCUCUGUGAACGGAAACUUAUCUGCCAUUUCGGAUUGAUCUGCUUUUUGUUCAUUAUUCCAGUACAUUAAGCAACCUAGCAUUUCAUACGUAUUAGGGCUGCUGAUCCCCAAGACCACCACUCAAUCCGGCACUCAAUUCAGCACUCAAUCCUCCCAAAUUUCCAAGAGCACUCACAGCUUGCCCUAAAUCUCCACCACCCAUUCCUCUAGAGCCGAUGGUUCGUAAACACUCAGAAACUUGACCAAGGGCCACAAUCAAACUGGUAGCAAUGCGUUCGUUUGCUUCAAGUUGCCGCUCAAGUCGACGAUCCUUGCGUUCUUCACUUUCUCUGAUAGCCCGUUCUAAUCCAGCCAUGCCCUCCACAAACUCAGUCCAUCUUCUGCACCAGAAAAUUAACAAGUGCUUAAAAGAACGAGAACUCCAAAACCAAGCACUCCAUGCAAGCAUUAAACACAUGCAAACACAAAUAUGCACUUGUAAAACUGGCAAAACAUUAUAUGGUAUUCUUGUUAGUCUUGCAAUGUUUGUGACAAGUUUCUCCUAUUCGCUAACACGAAAAUGAUAAUGCAAUGUAUUCACAAAGCUCGCUCGGCAAAAUCAAUACAUAAAAUCCCUACUGUGACAAUAACUUCCCAAAAUUAGCUACAAUCAAGCUGGAAACUUGAGACCCAACAUAAGCAACAGGUUCAUCAGUUUCAGUGUUGUGAACACUACGUACCUGCCUCCUGGAUUGGAAUUGCUGGAAGGAAAACUGCCACUAUCCUCACUGUCAAAUCCAUUCCUACCAGCUUCAUCACGUUCGUGAUCUUGAUCUCCACGCUCCUGACCUAUUAAAAAAGCAUAUAAUUCACUCACAAAAUUAACAACAAAGCUUCAGGUUACACUGCGGACAUUAAAAAGGUCCAGAGCUCCAAUUAUUUGAAGCCAGCACAGAAUGUUUAGAACCGUGACUUUUACGCAAAAUUUGAAGUUAUUGUGAAUGACUGAUUUAAUGUCCUCGGCUUAAGAAAAGAAAAAAUGUUGAUGCAUAAAAAUAGACCAUACAACGAAACAAAGUGUCUGAUCCACUAUGCAGCAUGGCUCGCCAAAAACUAUUCCCUCAUGUAAGUAGAAAAGAGAAUAGAAACAAUCACCUUUCCAUGGCUCAUAGCCGGGAGUACUCUCCUCCUGGUUAACAGCUUCCAAUCCCCUGGAAGGUGCGAGCUGAGGCGUAAGCUGGGUUGGGAGCUGUGAUGAGAUUUGGCCCGAAAGAUGGCCUUGCAUCUGAGCCGACAUUGGUGUUUGCAUCUGAUUCUGCAUCUGAUUCGGAAUCUGCGCCUGAAGCUGGCCAUCCAUGUGAGGCUCCUGCUGCAUCAACUAUUGAAGCAAGCAUAGGAUUCAAAAAACUGCUCCGUAAUUCCAACUCAUAGGUUCUCAUUAUCAUUACCAAAAUUCUCAUGAAAAACAAGGUGCAGUUCCUCGUUGUCCAGGUUAUUCAAGGAGUGAGAAGACCAGCUCAAACCACCGAAAAAUGAAACAAACCUGAAGCAUGAUGUCACGCGGAUCAUGGGAGUCCAUCGGCGAUGGUUCGCUACCUGCAGCCCCAAACAAAUCUCUGUUCACUGCAUCUUCUUCUUCCCUUGCAAUCAAGCCAUCUGUUUCCUCCGUCAGACCUAUCCUUGGAAAACUCUGCAAGUCUAUUCUUACUAGCUAGGAUGUGAGAACAUUCACAAACUACACUACAUGAAGAUGAUAUAGGCAAAAUUUCACUACUAAGCAUGAAAGAAAAAACAGAUUGUCUGAGAGAGUUACAUUAAUAAUACCAACACAAGCUCUGUCUAAUUACAUGAUAUUGCAUUGUAGAUAAUGCGCAUGGAACAAUGUGGAUACAGAAUAGCCAAUAAUUGUAAAUAUCUAUUCCAGUAAUGCCUGGAAAAAGUAACUAGGAAAACUUGUAGAGACGAUAAACAGGCCAAACACUAGGUUUCUUUGAACGAGAAUUAUAAACUUGGACAUGAAGUAAGAGAUCUCAUUUCGAUGCACUCAAGCUAAUAUUCUCGCGUGUAGUCGAAAUGUAUACAACAUUUAAUAGAAAAGUUUAAUUAAUUGAAACAAGGCAACGAAAAGUUUGAGAUAUAAGCCUCGUCGCUACAAUGACAUAACAAGCGAAUGCAAAGAAAAUGCAAGGCAAACCAGUGUGGUCAGGAAGUAUGAGUGUGUUCCCACAUGAAAAACACGUUACCUAGUAAUGCUCUCGGUGUGUCACUCCUCUUCUUGCCCUUCAGAGCAUGAGCAGCCUCGAUCAUAACAGUUGGGUGACGCUUGCGAAACCAGUCCAUCCAGCUUUUACCAGGUACUCCAUUCCUAAAUGGAGUCUCUCUUCCCUGGCACACAUCUGCAACUUUCCUUCGGAGCAUGUAGAACGUAAUAGGAUGUCCAUUUCUUUGCAUCUCUAAACACCAGUCAACCAUCGAGUCUUCUUCCUCCUUCGUCAGAACAGUGCGAGGACCUUUCUUCUUGGAAGAUGUUUUCCCGGUUAGCCAGUCCCGGAUUGACGACUCGGGAAUUCCGUACUUCUCUCCAAUCUUACCUAUGGAGGCUGUCCCUUUCUUGACCUCCUUAAUAGCUUCCUUCAUACUCUCUUCUGACCAAUUCCCUCGCUGUUGUAUUCUACGAGAGCUUCCCCUUUUUGCUUGCGUCAUACCACCUCUCAUGUCCUUCACUUCUGCACCUUCUCCCUGAGUCCCCCACGCCACCACUACAAUCCCGUGCAACCUCAGCUCAAAUUUCAAAACGAUUGGCUUAGCACGCGGAGAUCAACACAACAAUAUGCACGCUCAAGUCCAAACUUCGUAGACGACGUUAGACCUAAACAAGACCCAUCGCGACACACAGGCAGAGCGACUGCACUUACCAGAAAAAUCUCUUCCUGCAGCGUCUCCCUCCUGUUCAAUCAUCCCGCCCUGAUUCAACCAUGCCACACAAUUAUAUCAGCCUCCAAAAUUACCGACUACAUCUUACCUCCUAUGCAGCCCAAUGCCAGGCGUUCGAUGCAGCAAACCGCUGCUCGGCGAUGAUUCCCGCCAUGCCAACCUUCGCGUCGACAACAGACCUCUACACACAAUCCAAUAACCAGCACCAAAGGUCCAUUCCAUUUUCUCGCUCUGAACUCCAUAUAUUUAUUUAUUUUCUAUUUUUUGUUUUUAUUCUUUCCUGUUCCCUUGACACUUCCUCUACCACUCCGAAAAUUUUCCAAAAACUGAACACCCUAACUGACCGCAACUUCGCCAGCUACGGCUCAUCAACUUCAAUCUGCCGGCACAGCGCACAUCAUCUGAUGCCGUACCACAGCUAAUGUCGAAGCUCAGUUCUUAACUCGGGCAUGGCGGUCACAGUGCACUCUCUCAACUCGUUCAAACCCCAGCACCCUUCGUAAGAAACGAGGUUUUCCACGACAAAAUCGCAACCGGGACUUCAUACCGACUACAGAUUCCACACAAAGUACACAAAAUCAUUCGGAAGUAAAUAGCGUACCGAAACUAGGACCGUAAUGCCGCGGAGCCAAAGGUUUUGGCACGACUUGCGAUCGUCGGCAGCGUCGAGAACCCUUCACCGUCUCUCACCACCUUGAACCGUGACAAGCCCGUGAGGAGAGGAGACGAGGUUUUGCCCUCACCGCCGUCUGCCGCCACUUACCGCGUAGUACAGCCGCGGACGCUUGCGCGCGGCUGGUCCAGGCGUUUCCAGAGGCGUUCGCUGUGAGAGGGGAUCGAUCGUGCCUCCCCUCUUGAAAUUUAUAUUUUGUAUUUCGAAAAAGUUUAAAGUUGAUGUAAACGUAAAAGUUUAAAGUAAGACUUGGAGUGUAUUGCAUUGCAAUAAUACUUACAAAAUAUAUAAUAAUAGUAAAAAUAAUUAUGAUAAUUUUUAGUAAAGAAACAAUUUACAUUCCUACAUAAUGUUUAUUCAAUAACAGUAAUUGCUAAAUCUGAACUAAGAAUUUGAAUAUUACAAAUACAUCAAAUUUGACUGAAGUGUAAAAGAAUUUCUAUAUUGAAAUUUCUGCACUACUUAUCCUAAAUUUUAUUAUAUUCACUAUUACCGUAUUAUUUUUUCAAUUACAUAUUUAUUGUAUUUAUAAAUAAUCGAAUAACAUAAAUUUGUCAAAUAAUUAUGUUCAACAAAAAAAUCAUUGUACUUAAAAAAGAAUUACACAUUUAUGCUAUGUCCACAUUAUGUGUAUGUUAAAAGAUGUAAUAUUUACUUCAAUAUUCAAGUUAUUAAAUAAAGUAUGUGAUUCAAAAAUUCAAAACUUUUAAAAAAUUUAACAACAUAUUUGAAAACUAUUCAUUGUAAUGAAAUAUAAAAUGGUAUUACUAUAUUCAAGCUUUUGAAUUUCUAAUGUAAAAAUAUUAUAAUAUAUGUAGAGAGAUAAGUAAGAUAUUGAAUAGUUUUUUUGUAAAUAAUUGAUUAGUUCUGUGAUUGUAGAGUGCUAUGUAGCCAAAGUGAAUCAUAUUGUGUAGAAGUGUUGGACUAACUGAUUGAAGAUUAGUUAAUAACUGUCAGAAGGUAAAAACCAGAAUAAACAUUUAAUGAUGAUUCAAAAGUCACUGUCAAACUUUAACACAAAUGGAUAAUAGAAUGACUUCUGAAGGUUUAAACUAAAUAACAAGCUCUUGUUAAGCUAAUGUAAAAGUAGAGCAGGCACAUGGUCAAAAUUCAAAAAACAUUUUGCACAGGACACAAAAAUAUAUGUUUGCCAGAUGGGUCACAUUUACUCAUCUUGUGUUCACAAAAAAAAACAAACAAACAAACAAACAAACAAAAACAAAACCGACUAUUGGCAACAGUUUUGUUGCUAAUUUUCUUUUUGUGCCGACAGAGAGCUGCAAUAUGGUGUGGAUAUCUCAAUCGCCGUCAGCCCUCUCAUGAUCAGUUGAUGAUGUUAUUUAGCUUAAGGGCAGCUGGAUAUAUUCUUUUGUUUCUAUACAGAAUUAGCAGCGUCUUGGCUACAUAAUCAUAGACAUGUCAAACUAUUCUGAAUUGGGUGAAAGUAGUCGCUGGAUAUCCACCUCUGUCACCUCGGUCAUUAGAAACUUAAGAAUGCAAAGUUGAAGCAGAUAGAUGCUCAAAUUCUACGAAACUGGUCUAAUGCACUCUACCAGAGGUGGGGAAGCUGCGUACAUUAGAAGUGCUUAGUUGGUUAUAAACCUGCAGGGUACUGCUGCAGUAACAUCAGCAAAGAGGAGUGAAUCUUACAGUGUUCACUCUGUGCAAGAUGUUCGGGCAAACCUUGCUUGGUGCAGUUGAUCGCAUGUAGACCCUUGAAAUCCAGCAUGUCGAAGUCGAGGUUGCUCAGAAACAGCACCAAGGUCUGUUUCGUAGCGUGUGCUGAGCACACUGAUAUAUACAGAAGUGAGUGAGAUUUGCUUAUCAAAUCGCAAAGAGAAGUUUACCACCAGAAUUUAGAGGAAUAGGAUACUUCCGUAAUGUCUGAUUCAGCAACUAGCCGAAGGUUGUCACUGCAUAGCACGGAAAUAUAAAACUUGUUCUCACCAAAGUAUGGAUGAGUGCAAGAACAGGUGGAUUGGAGGCCAUCCUCUAUCUGUGAGUCUGGGACAUUUAUUCAUGAAUUAUCUGACCAUGACCAGUUACAGGAUUCCUGGUAUCGAAUUAAGUGCGAGGAUGUGAUGUUCCAUGAAGAGAAAUUCUCUACACGUCUUUCCCUGUUUCCGAUGGUGAAGUGCCGGGGGAGGAAUCUGCUUAAUUACACACCAAAACAAAUGAACCCAUUGCGUUCAAGAGGAUUGUUGAGCUUGUGAAGUCGAUGAGAGUAUUAUUGUUUAUCUAAAAUCCAUUUUUUUCAGUUCCACUUAGGUCACUGUUUUUGCUGAACUUUCAAGCACGUCGACGUUGCGCUCAUCGAGAUGAAGUAAGUAUAAGAAGCACUCUCACCGCUAAUGUACUUCACAGAUAACAACACCACCGCUUUUGCUCCUUCAAACUAGAACUAAUUCUCAUUUGGCGACCAAGGCAAGUCAGUCCAAGUGGAUAACAGAACUCAAAGGAGAGUGGUGAACCUGGUCUAGAACUUAAGGUGAAACGAAGUUUAGUUUCCCGUGCAGAUUGAGUGUCAAGGAGUUUUAACCCACGAACUCACGCAAUCUACACCAUACUGCACUGUUUAGGCACUAGCAUCGACAAACGUACACAUUCACACACACACACACGCACAAUGUACUCUAUGUGCGGAAGUUGAAAACAUUCUUGAGUUUCAUUUUAUCCAAAAAUGAAGUUGUCUACAUCCCGAAGCGGGUUCCUGAAAUUUACGUGCCCAGUUUACAAGAUUCUGGCGUACUUGCAUCAUGAUAUCCUGCUUCUCUAACUCUUCGUACAGUCAUGGUACACAAUCCUUUAGAUAGCAACACGCCUACUAGAAUGGUUCCUGGAAGCAUAAUUUUCUAUUUUGACACUGUAAUGUCACGACAACUAAACCUCGUCUCCGUCUCUAUCUCCGUCUAUCGAAGAAAAUAUACACCUGAAAAGUAAUUGUGCUUACACAAACCUAAAUGACUAGUGACUGCUCCUUGAAAGCCUUGGAGCACCCUACCCAAUUACGCACAAACACCCACAUCGGGAUGCAGCAAUUGUCUCGACUCGAAACAAUCAGUACAACUUACUAAAACAUUCUCCCUUAGGAUGGUAGAGUUCACGAGUAAUAUGCUCCAAUGCUGUAGUGCCGGCAGAGCUUACUGUAAUCCAGUCUGUAUCGUAUGUACAUGCGAGUUGCAUCGAUUGCGAGAUUCGAGAGCGAGUACACAGGAUCAACACCAGUAUAUCGUUGGACGGCCACGAAGAUUGCAAAGGACACAAGAAAACAAAGCGCUAUGGGGUUCUUCAUUUAAUUAUUUUUUUCUGCUUCGCAAUAACGUAUGAUGUGCUCACAGCAGAAAAGAAAAUCUGUUGAAGCGCUCCCUCAAAAGUCCAUCAGAUCAGCUAAUGCAAUGCCAACUCCUCCUGUGAAGUUCCCGCUCGUGCACCUGCCGAGGUCGCGGUAUUCAAAUCAUGAAUGAGAUUGAAGACCGGCGAGACAGCUUUCAGCUAUGGCACCUCAAUCACCAAGUAUACACCCGGUAGAUUCAUCAGCAUUAAAACUGCAGAAUGUACAAACAUUCAAAUUACUCAGUAAACUAUUGCGAAAACAGGAGCCCGUCAAUGGCAGAUAUCGACGUUUCCAAGAAGUUCACAACUUGAGCCAAAUCACUACAUCUCUCCCCACUUUCAUGCAUAAUUUUCUCACCUCGCCUCUCAACGCCCCUAUGCCAAUUGAUCGAAUCCCGAUCGAGACCAAACGACGUCGCCCAUGAGACCUACUUCUAGAAGAGUCUACAUUUCAACCUAGAAGUACCUCCACAUGAGCAACAACUUCAUCACCCUAAGCAAAUAGAACAAGACGGCGUUUGCCGGAGAAGACUCGAGUCUUGGACGGCCUGUGAUGGAUACGCACGGAAGGUUGUUCUAAACCACGUCAAGUCAACAAACCGCACCUGAAUUUUGUGCAUUUCUGUGUGGAAAUUUGAGCGAGCUCGUGAUUAAUAAUAAAAACUGACCUCGAAGGAUGGAAAAGUCAAGCUCGCUAUCGUGGAGAUCAAGCAACGAAAGAUGAUCGUCAUAUGAAUUCAGUAUUGAAUGCGUGAAUUCCGUGGGGAUUUGAUUCGUGAGCUCCACAGUCCAAGGCCAAUAGAAGUAAAUCAUGGAAGUUCGAAGACCAGACUUCACCAAUCCCGCCCAAACGUGCCCCGCCAACGUGCCUCGAUUUCCCUACGAAAGUCUUCCCACUGCCCAAGUCACCCAGUCCCUGCCCAGAAUCUGCCGUAAAAAUCUGCCCUCAGCUCAUACUAAUCAAAACUUCCCUGCCCGCUGCCCCUGCUGGCCCUGCCCGGCAGCAGCGGCUCCCGCCUGUCGGCAGCGGGCCAGUCUGCAAGUGCAGCCCAGUGACAUGAAAUAUAACUUAUUUAUUAUAAUAAUCAUGAAUAAAUGAAAUAAAUAUAUUACGAAUAUUGUAUCCAAUAUAAAGAAUAAUACAUCAGUUAACAUAUUAUAAAUAUAAUGUGAAAUAAUAAAUUCCAUUAUUAAAUUUAUAUGAUGAAAUUAUAAGAUCAGUUAAAUAUUUAAAUUUAAAAUAUAUAUAUAUAUAAUAAAAUUAUGAUUAUUUCAAUUUUAUAUUAUUAUUUGAUUUCCUUAUACAUAAUAUAUGUUUUUAUUAAUAUGUGAUAUAUAUUAGUUGAAUUAUGUAUGUUAUAUAUUACUUUAAUUAAGUAUAUUGAAUAUGAUGGAGUAUAAUAAUUAAAUCUUAAUUAAAAUAUUAAUUUCUAAAAACUAAUAAUAUCCAAUAAUUAGUCAAAAAGAUUGAUACUAACUCCAUUUUUUGGUGCAUGAUUAAUAACUUCUUGUUUCUAAUAAGCAAUCUAUUUUUAUUAAAUUUUACUAAUUAGCAAAGACAAUUAAGAAAGCCCACAAGUCUAUAUAUAUUUAGACAAAGCAAGCUCAUAAAGAGUGAUCAGCUUAAAGUAUAGAGCCUUGGCAAAAAUGAUUUCUAUCAUGUUUUUAAUGUCACACAUUUGAUGAUUAUAAUCCUUAAUAGUUAUAUAUUUUUAGUGCAAUAAAUGAUGUUAAUUAAUAGCAACAUAUAUAAUAGCUUGGGUAUAGGAUAAAGAGACAAAGAAGCCUUCUUAUUGGCUAAACAUAGAAAUGAGGAAACAUAGAUGAAUAAGGGAGUCAAUAGAUGGCAGUGCCAAAGAUUGUGGUGCCCAACAACAUGGGUUUUUGCUUGUAUAUAUAUAAGUUAGUAAAAUAUUUGUAAAUUAUAGAUUAUAUAUAAUGUAAAAUUAUUUAUAUUGUGUCCAAUACUAAUUAAAUAUAUCCAUUCAAAUAGAAUAUUGUACAAUUUCAAAUCAUUGGGAUAAGUUUAUAUUUUUGAGCAUUGGAUUAGAUUAUUCAAUGAUAGCAAAUGAAUUGAGUUAUUGAUUUCUAGUUAAGAACCAAGUAGAAGCAAAAUAUUUGCUACAUUUUUGUACUAUAUAUAUAUAUAUAUAUAUAUAUAUAUUUUAAAAAUUAUAUGCAAAGAUAUUAUAGCUUCUAUUAGUAUUUAAGAUCAAUAGGUUAAAAAAUUUAUAAAAUACUAAAAAAAUGUAUUAGAUUUUUUUUCUUCUAUAUAUGUGUUUAAAAAACAAUACAUUCUUAUAUUAUCAAAAGAGAGAAAAUAAACAACUAAAAAGUAUAUAUGUAAUUAAAACUAUAGUGGCUAUUACCAAAUACAAAAGGACUAGGAAGUCUUAAACCAAAAUAGAAUACAAAGAAGACAUGGAUAAGAGUGAGGAAGGCAUCACUCUUGUCUCCAUAUGUACUACUUAUUAAAGAAUUACAUGGCAAUGCCCUAUAAACUAUAUAACAUGUGUCUAAGUUGAAAGACAAGUUUUUGAUAUAUAUGUCAUAUGGCCGACUUUAAAGUCAAGUUGCUAAAUGUGUGACAUGUGGCCGAUUUGUUGGCCAAGUUGUCAACCCACCAAUCACUUAUAAACACAUGUGAUGUUUACAAAGCUUCUAAGAUUCUUAGCAAUAAGAUAUCAAUAAUUUAACCAACUUCUACUUCUAAUUCUUUCUAUCUAUUUUUAUUUAUCUAAAUAUAUAUGGCUAUCCACUAUAUAUGGCUAUCCAUUACAAUUUAUAUGCUUUAUAAAUUUUAAUUUUGAUUUAAUUAUUUAACUAUUAAAAUCUUUGAUUAAAAGAAUGAACAUAUUUCUAUUUAAUAAUUAAAAAAAUAAAUAUAUAUAAUUUAAAUUUCUAUUAAUAUUUUUUAUAUUAAUAAUAUAUACAUAUAUAUAUAUAUAUAUAUAUAUUAAUAAUUAUCAUUUAUCAUCAAUUCUUCAAACAUUAUAAGUUGAUUUUCUCAAGAUUAGGUCGUAGACUUUCUUAUAUAUCUAAAAGAUCAAAAUGAUACUAUCUUAUAUUAGGACCUUAACAAAAAAAUAAUAAUCUAUCAUCUUUGCUUGUUAUUUUUAAUAAUAUAAAGCAUUUUAAUUCAAUCUAUCUUCAAAAUUUAUAUUAACUUUUUUGUUUAUAAUUUAGAAUUAAAAUUUAAGAUGUUCAAUAUUAGUCAAAUGUAAUAUAUAUCUAUAUAUAUAUAUAUAUAUAACGAGAUCCUAUCAUAUGAAUUGUUUCAAUUGAAAUAUUCGUUUGGCAUUCACACCAUAAACUUCACCAUGAAAGAGUGACGACAAUUUUCACCCACCCUUUCAAGGACGAUGAAAGAUAUGUUGGAUCACGGCGAACGAGUUUCAUCCAAUAUUGGGAACAGAUAUUCUCAAUAUUGGGAACUGCCGCACAUCAUUCACAGCAAACCAUGUUUAGGGUUUAGACCCACGAAAAUUCUAGAUCCGAAUAUCGUUGGAUCCCGUGCUGUGUAUGUGAAGGGCACUGCGCGGCGUUGCUCGUGGUGCUCGUCUUUCCGUUGUAUCGAUCGAGGUCAUGAAAAAGUGUUCACGGGGAGAUUGUGAAUUGGCUUCAAUCGCCACAGAAUUUUCGACGAGAAUGACGGCGAAACUCGACAAUAAGCUCUGUUAAAUGCGAGUAGUUUUUGUUCGAAGUUCAGGUGGCUUUCAGAAUUUGCUAUUUUCAAAAUGGUGGAGGAAGCUGCUGCUCGCGUUGCAGCUCUAGAGCAGCGACAGCUUUUUAUUCUUCAAUCCAUAGCCAAUCUGGAGCUUCGGUUGUCGGGUAUCAAGAAGUUAGAGUCGAGCGGAGGCCAUACGGGCUCCUCUGCCGGCGAUUGCACGUCCGAGGAUCCUAUUGAACGCCGUGAGCCUGCGAAGACUCCCAUUUGCGACGUAAUGAUUGAAUUCUUUCUUAUUUUUAUUUUUUUGAAUUAGAUAGUUGGCUGAAUUCGUUGAUAUUGACAUUUCGCAUUGAAGAAUCGUUUUUAUUGUUCUCGUUUCCUUUUAAGUUUUUAUUUAUUAUUUAGUUUUAUCUUUCUAGCGCUUAUUUGUUACGUGCACUCUGCUCUCGAACUUCAUUAGUUGUAUUGGUCGUCCUGAGACUGAUGAGUACGUUUGGUCGGAUGCUACAGAUUGUCGAGCAACGGCUUUCAAAAUUGUUACAGGCUGCAGGGGCUUCUGAAUUUGUUUUCAAGACAGUUCCUUCAGACUAUUAUGACAGGUCAUAUGAACAACGACGCGAUCUUCUAAGUGCUGCGUCUGUGGACCACCUUUGCAAAAGCAUUGUUAUGGUGAGGCUGUUAUGUUCACCCUCUUAUUUGGCUUUUUGAUGGAGUUUUUGAGAUUUUGCUCGUGAUUUAUUGGAUUAAUGCUUGAGAAAGAUUCGAAAAGGAAUUUAUAUAUGAGGACACUGUAUUUCUUUCUUUGAAUAUUCAGCUGUAUGGAUGAGUAAGAACGAAAAGGAUUCCAAUACAGAGCUCCUUAUUUGGGAGCCUCUUUCUCAGGUGAAUGUGCGCGUUGUCGUGAUGAUCAGUUUGAGCGUUACAUAUUGUGAAUUGCGCUUACACCACAGAUUCAGUUUUUGUGGCCGCAGAAAUACCCUGACAAACUCAAGUUUUCUUGCAGGUAAAUACACAAGCGCACGAAAGUGUGAAGGAUUGUAGUGAUCGGAAGAACUCGAAGUAUUAUGUUAUUGUUAUACAGGUGAAAUUGCGUCUCACCUAAUCCUUGAUAGUGUUCGAUUGGCCUAUUUCUGUUUUAUUGAAUCUCAUUGUGCGUUUUGUCUAACAUGAGUGCUCUCGUUGAGAGUUCUAGAUAAGGAUGCAUUGUGUGAACUUUCGAGAUGCAUUGAACUACAUUUGUUGCAGACUUUCUUGAUCAGCCUAGAUAUCAUCUUCUAUUGAGAAUUAAGAAGGUUUUUCUGAUCUUAAGGAGUCUGGUUUUCUAAAGUUGAUAUUAUUCCAACUUCACUGGUUUGAUUCCACGAAUGUAUUGAAACGUGUUGUGGUACAGUAUACAGCGCGUCUUAACGCCGAAAAGGUUAAAGCGUUCGUUCAUUCCCUGAAUGAGGGGAAAAUUCCCAAGAAAAGAUUUAACUGUAAGGGUGUUCAGAUCUCUCCAUUUGAAUUAAACAGGUCACAAGCUUCAUUUAAUGCUAAAAAAAUAAAUAACACUGCUACGUUCCCGAAGAUUUAACUGACUGUCUUUGUCGUUGGUGACAUGUAUUAAAUUUCCAAUCCUGCAGGCAUUGUUAAGUCAGAGAGGUCCGUGUAGUAUAAUGGAUGAAGACGAACGUCUGAGCCCUUGGUUCAUAAUGACCGAGUUUCAGUUCAAAAUUGUCUGAUUAGAUAAGAACAUACAGCGUUCUUAUUCUGACUAGUGUUGAUUGUACUCGUGCAUGUUAAGUGCGUCUUGCUCCAGAGGAAGAGUCCAACCAACUGACUGGCUUUGAACACAAUGCUGUUACACCUAUUGGAAUGCGCACGGACAUACCUGUAAGCGUUGGUGCAUAGCUUGCUUCAUGUCUUGUGAUUAAACUAGGUUAAACAUGUGACGCUACGUCAAUUUAAACGAAGAGGAGACUCUGUGGUCGAUGCAUUCUGGGAUCGUCUUUUCUUGGUUUAUCUCCCAUUUAAUUGUCAUUUCUUCCAGAUGUACACGAAAAGUUUACACAAGUUACGUGGUUAGGAUUCAGGGGUGCUUGUUUGCUCAUGGACAGACAAUGUUCUGGCUAAUGGCGCAGGUAAUUCUUUCAGACGCUAUUGUACAGCUCAGCCCACGAUUUUUUUGGCUUGGCGGAGGGGAAGUGGAUUUGAAACUGGGUACUAAAACCGACGAGUUUAUUAAAAUUGUGAAACCAUUUAUCACAGAUUGCACUUAUUAGUCAAGUAUAGUAUACAUCCAUUCAUGUGCACUCAGAUUCUUGGAUUGAACAAUCUUUUUUGAAUUGUGGUCAUAACAUGGUAGUCUGCAAGUCAAGUGCCUAAGAUUUCUUCCUGAAGCAUGUUAGUUCUUAUGAAAUUUUGAUCAAUUUUCUUUAGAUAAUGUAUGGUCAGUCCUGUCAAUUCAUUUUUGCAAGUUCCCCUGUGAAAUUUGAAAGGUUUUAGUAUUUUUAUCUUUUUUAAUGUCUGCCAAUAGCCUGUAUUGUUUAUCAGCCAAUAAACUGAUAAAUCUAUUUAUUUCUUUUCAUACACCUACACUAUUUCGUUUCCACAAUGCCUAAUUUUUACAUAGGAAUACAGUUAAAAUCCAUCAAAAACAUGGUACGAUGGCUAGAACAUAGUGGUAAUUGAUGCGACGAUAACAUAACUUCGAUGCUACAAUUUGAUUUGAUAAAGACGAAACACAGUUAUUAACACUCAUCUUGUGAGGAAAUCAAUGAUUGUAUGCACUGCUAUACAUGAGAAAAGUGAUUGUGCAAUGCUUUAGGACAUGCAACAUUAAUUUGUGUACCAUUUGUCCACACUAUAAGUAACAUAUUGACAAAUUUGGAAAUGUGUUGAUGAACAUGCACAUAUUUUUAUGAAAUACUUUUAAAUUGUGAAUAUGACAAAGUUUUAAUUUUUGCCUUCUCUGAAUUGAAAGCAUUCUAUAAAAAUAGCCUUUCUCUAGACCUUAAAAAGAUAUGUUAUGUUAAAAGUAAAGACAUGCUCACUGUAGGACAUUCACAUGAUCAAGUAGUGAAAGAAAACACUAAUUUGUAAGGCAUUGAUACAUAAAUAUAUGAAUUUUAAACAGUUAAAUUAAAGUGAUAAAUAUAACAAAAACUACUCUUGUGUUUAGCAAUUCAGUUAAUUUAUUAUUAUUUAAGUUUUUGCAUCAUAUCGCAUAAGUUAUCGUGUCUUAUGAUAUAAUAUACACGAGUUUUCAGUUGGAGACAAAAAAUGACAAGAUAUACAAGGAAGGUUUACAAGUUUUUCUAUUAGUCGAUACUUUAUUUAUGCUAUUUUAUCAACCACACAAUCAAUUUUUGUUCAUAUGAUGUGUGUCUAAAAUGAGAAAGUGACGACCUUGUCUUUGAGGCAAGAAAGCAUAAACCAAACUUCCCGUGAAGUUAACAAAAGAUAUUGCAUAGCAAAAUGAUUUUUGUCACUCAACAAUGUACACAUUUGCUGGUUCUUUAAACGACAUCAAUGUUUAAUUUUAAUAAUACCCUCCGUGUUAACAUGGAUAAAAAAAAAAAAAAAAAAAAAAAAAAAUCAUCAUAAUCACCCAGAUAUUUUUACGAAUAAAUAAUCCAAAAUCAGAAUCAUAAAAUGAUGUCAAAACAAAUUCACCUUGUUUCCGUGAUGCUUGAGUCUAUCUCGCAAUACUAACGCCGCCAAUAAACUUUUCACGCAUCAAGCCCUAAUUUCUACACGACAAUUUCUUCCACUCUUGAACAGCGCAUUGGAAUCGCAAUCAAUCUUAUGACGACGAAGGCAUCAGAGCGUCACGAAACAGAACACGGAGAACUCAUCUACACUCCGUCGAUGAAGUCGAAGUAUCUCUCUCCCUCUUUUCGUCAUGUGACGUUUUCUGGCUGCAUUGUGAAACUUGAGCCUCACCGUCACACCAUGCUUGUCCGCAUUGAUAAGAGUUGACCCAUUGCUUCGUAGGGCUGUCGAUUAGCACUCCACUCGUGUGGAGCAUAUAUGCAGUCGAGAUCACUCGGAUCGGCAACAAAAAGAUCCUCUGAUCGAAACCGUAGCCACACAAGCUCAUGUCGUCCUCGUGGACACAACUGAAAAACGCACUGAAUGAGAGAAAAGAGGCAACCAUCCUAUUUCGAGCCGCACCGAUUCGCCGCUCCAGUACAUGCCAUCACGCUUAACAAAGCGACAUCGAAUUACGGGUAAGGCCGCAUUAGUUAAUUAGAGGCUUCUCAGAAUGAACAAAGAGUAUCAUUUUCAAGCGGACAUCGACUUAUCUAAGUUCCCGGAUCCCCGAACCCGUUGAGGGGCGCGAACAAACAUCACGUCCAUGGCUCACGGAGCACCCACCCACACGACUCCCAAAUUUGCCACUCUGGGACACAACAACAGCAACAGCGAACACCUUAACAACCACCAUGAAUCGUCAUCGCGACACACAAUCGAGCUAGUAAUUGCAAGUAAAGAAACCCUUGCAAAGGAUGCGACCUCGGACUCCGCGAGCUCCAGCUACUCGUUCAGACUCGGGGAUACUUUGACGGAGUUCGUCCAAAAGUGUUCCAUCGGAUAUCGUCGUCAAAACGGAUGAGUAUCGUCGACAUGUUCCAGAUGGAACAUGCGGGAAGGGGGUGGGUUCCCGGAGGAGACGACUUUUAGGGCUUGAGGCACCCUACAGCGGCCUUUCGCCCUGUUUCGCAGAUCCAUCGAUUCUCAUCUCUCUCUGCAACAAUCGCCGCUCUCAGGCCGCUGCUGCUGCUGCUGUUGCUGCCAACAGCAAGGCCACAGCUCCUCGUCACGCCCCUCGUUUCUCCUCGAUCUCUCGGUUCGUCUGUGAAGAGCUCGGCGCGCGUGCCCGUCGUCGUCGUCGUGCCUUUAUCACUGAUUCAUCAGCAUUUCGGUGGCUGUUUCGUCAUAGUGUGCUGAUUUUAAUUUUAGUUUUUGGACGUCUAGAGUGUCUUUUUUAUCGCGGUGUCUAUUCGAGUGUUUCAGGGCGAGUGCUGUGGUGGCUUGUUGUGUGGAGAGAAGGGGUUAGCUUUUUUUUUUUUUUUUUUUUUUUUUUUUUUUUUAAUUUUUUUUAUUUCCCACUCUUCUUUUUGUUUUUUUGUGCUUUCUUUCUUUCUUUUAUAGAAGGAUAUAUUUUUUUCUGUCAUUCUUAAUGUUUUAGAUAUUAUUUUUUCUACGAUUUAAAAACUUUUUGGAAGUUCUAGUUUUGUUUAGUUGUAUGGUAUGAGCAUUUUUGGGCGGCUUUAGUCUUGUUUACAUCCGUUGCAGUUUAUUGCGGGUGGAUGCGUAUCCCUCAGAGAAGUCAGAAUUGAUUUGCUCCUGUGGUGCUAGAUUUUUUAGUUGGGGUUGCAGAGCAGUGGCGACUCAGGAUAGAGUAUCGUGAUCCUGCUUGGUUCCUGGGCCUUAGGUCUACCUGUUUACUCGAACAUCAGAAGCCUUGGCAACAUUUUACGGUUAAGCUGCUAAAGAGUAGGUAAGAUAUAUCUUUCCAUUCGAUCGUGGUGAGUGUUAGCUGAUGAACUAUGCCUCAUUUCUAGGACGUGGUAAGGUUCAGAAACGCAGUACGGAGACCUUUGGUGGUGGCUGUCGCUCUGUUUAUCACUGUGAAAAGUUAAGUCCUUUUAGUGUCUUUUAUGUUCCUCCGUAUCUUGUUAUGAGUCAUUCUGAAUACUCAGAUGUAUUUCAUUUGAAAGACCAGUGACAGUGUUCGGUCUAUGUGUCGCUUAAGCAGUUAAAUCUGUCAGUUAGGUUUUGGAAAGGUCGGUUUUGUUAAAAAGUCGUCUUUAUCCGAUCCACCACUUUUUUGCGCAGUGUUCUCAUUCAUUUUUUAAGGUUGGCUGUCGCCUUUCAGUAAUUUAGUUGCCACUGGUUGUAGCUUCUAUGUCUUCGUUGUGGUCUGGUUGGGGGUGGCAGAAAUUCUAAUCUGUGUUUCCAUUUCACAGGAACCAUGGCGUCUCCUGUAGCAACGGCACAAGUUGUAAGUUUCGGUCACAUCUUCAUUUGUAUUCUUCUGCCUUGCAGCUUACAUUGAAAAGUCCUUAAAUAGUCAUCAUUUAGAGGUUUUUUUAAUCAUUCCAUCCUUUCGCUGGCACUCCUACUUGAUUUUCUGGGAUGCCAACAGAAUCUGAAAAGAUAUGUGGUGGCCAUUCAUUGUAAUGUCAAUAUGGUUACGUUUUGAUAGUGGAGCCAGUUUAUGCCAUUCAUCUUCUGCAGUAUUUGCAUUGUUGAAGCCUUGAUUUACCGAACGCUUUUAUUUAUCUUCUCGGUGAUGCAGGUCGGAAAUGCAUUUGUGAACCAGUAUUACAAUGUACUACACCAAUCCCCACAAGUAGUGCAUCGGUUUUACACUGAUGCCAGUCACAUGACCCGAGCGGAAGCGGGAGCCGGUGGGGCAGUGGAUGUGGCUCACACCCAAGAUGUGAGUAUCAUUUGGAAACUCUUGUGUACAACAUAGUCCUAUCAUCGUAUCUAGCUGAUGAGUUUUGAUGACGUCGUACCGGAGCUCUUUCAAGUUGUGUUUUGGAUUUAUUCCCCAUGCAGCGGGUACCACCCACUGCUCAAUGUCUGAACUUUGGGACGUGUUGUAGUUCAUUUUUCUUCUUUCGCGUAAGUCCAUAUGUUAUGUGAUUGUUUUUAAAAUUUUAAAAUUUUAAAUUUCUUAGUCAAUAUAAUGAAUGCAUAAAGUACAGGUGUCAAACUUGUGGUGGUAGUUUUGGUCAUCACCUACCUUCAACGCCCCGCUGUCUACGUAGUAGGUAGCCAUGUUUGAGGUGUAGGAGGGUUUGUUAUUGUGAGAGUAUUUUUAAUCAUUAGCUGUAUUUUUUUUGCAGCAAAUUCACCACAAGGUGAUGUCCUCUGACUACAGUGAGUUCAAGGCUGAAAUCAAGACUGUCGACUCACAGGAUUCCCUGAGUGGUGGAGUUCUUGUCCUGGUCACCGGUUCUCUCUCAACCAAACCAACUGGAAAGAGGAACUUCGUCCAAAGCUUCUUUUUAGCUCCUCAGGAGAAGGGCUACUUUGUUCUGAAUGACGUAUUCCGUUACCUCGACGAUGAAGAACAACAGCAGACGAAGUCUGUCCCCUCUCUUGCUAACGGUGUUGCUGAAGGUGCAUACUCGCAUCAACAGGCUCCUGAACCAGGUACAUGUGUGUCCCUUAUGUUGCUUGCUUGUUUCACUCUAGUUGUUUCCAUAGUAUUGCAUCCACUAAAUGUUACUCUGUAUAUGACAUAAUAGUUUGCAGAUUUUCUGCUUGUAUCUUCCUCAAAUAAAUGACGAUUUUCUGCUUUUGAUGCACAUCUCACCAAGCUUAGGUAUCUUUAUUGAUUAUCAUGGUAAUAAUCCUCAAUUGUAUGAUUUAAUUACAUUGAAACUGAAGUUGAUAUGGUCGACUCUAUGCUCAGUUGUGGAGCAACCUACUCCAGCUCCAGCGCCAGAAGUUGUGAGGGAAGUCACUCCCGAACCAGUUCCCGAGAACGAGGCGACAGCGCAGGAAGUUUUCGAUGAUGAAGGCUCCACAGGAGCGGAAGAAGAGAAACACACUGGCCAGGUUCCUGUUGAGGACAACACUUCUCCCGUAAUUGAAGAACCUGAGUCACCAAUGGUGCAAACAACUCCAGUCAGGGACAAUCCUGUGCCUGUUCAGGAACCAGAAUCAGUUGGUGAACAGCCUAAGAAGUCAUAUGCGUCUAUUGUAAGUUUUUGCCACUUUUUCCGACAAGAAUCCUCUGUCAUUCCUCCGGUACAUGCUAGUGUGAAGUAACUUUUCGAUGGCAAUGUUUUUAUUCAUUUUAUGUUGUCUUAUUGACGGGUUCCCUGUCGCUUCGCACAGUUGAGGGUUAUCGGAGCGCCUCCUCCUCCCAAGGCUCCUCAACCUGUUGCUGAGCGUCCAGCAGCUUCAUCCGCUCCUGCUCCUGUCGUAGCUGCACCAUCUCAUGAUAAUCAUGAGGAUGCUGCCCCUGUUGAAACUGAAGGUUUGUGAUUUAUCACUUAUGUAUGUGUCUUCGGAUUUUGCUGGGCACGAAAUCAAGCAUUAUAAUAUCUUUGUCCCUGUGCAGUGUUCUCGAUGGCAUUGUGUUAUUGAGUGUUUAUGAUUUUUUACCUUCGCAUUAUGAGGUCUUGGAUAAAGAACCUGCCAGUUCAAUGUUAUUCUGAGAUACUUCUUGUGUUUCGAUGCAGCUGAUGGGCGGUCAGUUUAUGUGAAAAAUCUCCCGAUGAACUAUACUGCCUCUGAAUUGGAACAAGUAUUCAAAAACUUUGGACCUGUCAAGCCGAAUGGUGUCAAUGUUAGGAGCCAAAAGGUACUUUUAUACAGUAUCCGUCACCUUGUCCCAUUCGAAUUAUUUGCUGGCCAUGAAAAACCGACGUUUCCUUCAAUUUUGCAGCCUUGGAACUUGUUGCAAAUGUGAGAUUUUGAUGUAUUGAUUGACGUUCAAAAGGUUGAAGUUUUUACUGAUUAAUAAUAAGUUCCAAUACGGUCGUGAGCAGCAAGGCGUUUGCUACGCGUUUGUAGAGUUUGAGGAGGCAACAGCUGCACAAAGUGCAAUUGAGGUGAGACUACCAUUCGCCUGUUUCACGUGAAGGAAAAUAUAUCUUUUCCUUUAUGUUACCAUGCUACUGCUUUUUGUUUCAUCCUAAAUAUAGUGCAUUUUCUUGUCACUGAAGUUACUGAAUUGUUACUCCUUGUUCUGAAUGCAGGCUUCCCCUGUCCAAAUCAAUGGUCGCCCGGUUUACAUCGAAGAAAAGAAGCCAAUGGGGAGAGGUCAGUUCAGGCUGAAUCACUGGUCCUCUUUCCCUUCAUUCGUGUUCGGUUUUUUUUUCCUUUCAAACCGAGUUCCCAGCUCCUCCUCUUCUGUGAAAUUUGGUUGUGCACAUCGAUCCAUUCUCAUAGUUUUGUGCAUUUUGCAGCUCCAAGACGUCUAAACGACACCCGGAGCGAUCGCCCAUAUCGUGGAGAUGGAAUAAGAGGGCGUGGAUCAUAUAGUGGGCGGAACCCUGGUAGGGGUUCAAGUCAUGACACACGAGAACGCGAUGGUAACAGGGGAGGACGUGGCUCAGGGCCUGCACGUGGUGGUUACUCAACAUCAAAUAAUGGAGGUGCACCAGCUAACAGUGAGAGGCGUUCUGAAGGGCAAAGGGCACCCAGGCGUGUUCCCAACGGACCUGCCUCCCGCAGUAAUGUCACCCCUCCAGUUGCAGCUGCGUGAGACUGGCUACCAGAAUCUAUUCAUUCAGCUGGUGCAUUUUUGACUUCGAAUUGGUCAGCUUUGCAGCUCUUCUUUGGACUCAUGUUCCAUUUUUGUUUGCUUUCGGGGUUCAUUGGGUAAUUCCGAUAAGAAUAGCAUGUGGAAGCAAGGUUUGCAAUUAGUGCUAUCAAGAUUUGCAUGUAGUGCUAAGUAGAGGUUUACACCCGCCCCACUGUCAUGAUUUCUAGUGAGACUAUCUUAAAUUGUAAGACCAUGAUUGGUUGAUAGGUUAUCUUAACAUAAUGGAUACUCUGCUCAUAGCUGUUCCUGUAGCAUCAUUGGUUCAUAUAUGCAACAGUUCAUGAUUACUUCAUUGGUAUUCUUUGUAUGAAAUAGUUAGUAUCGUCUUAGUAUUUGAAGCUCUAAUGCGUUGUGUUCUGGACCUGGCUACUGUUUGUUUGGUUUGGGGGAUAAGCCCGCAACAUUUAUGCGUCACGUAACGACAAUGCUGUCUUAGCAUAUGAAAUAUUUCUGUUAAUUUUUUAUUUUAGAAUUGUUUACAACAUUGUCAAUUUUAAUGUACGUUCUAUUAAACUAUUAUUAUUAUUAGGAUAGUAAUAUCGCUCAUUUGAUAUACGUAUAGUUCUUGAAUAGAUAGAUAAUAAUUCAUAUUAAUUUACUCUUCUGUUCUUAUAGCACGCAAUGACGUAGAAUAUGUGGCAAAAGAAUGCUUAACACAACAUCCAAUACAACAAUGUUAAUCCACCAAUAACACUUUGGUUUAUGGUUUGUAGCAGCUCUAAAUUUUUACAAGGCCUUAGAACGAGAUGCAAGUUUCAGAAAUAGCCAUCAUUAUCCUCCCACAUCAGUGGUGGCUUAGUGUCAUUUCUGUCUGUAUACUUGUACUCUUUAACUUCACAGAAAUUAGAGUAUUUUUCUUAAUAAGUAAUGUAUUCACAGAUAGUCAUAUUCCUACUAAAAAAUCUCUAGAAUUAUGUGAAUGUAUUUUAUAAUGUCUGAUUUAAAACAAUCACUAAGCAAAGUUACGAUUUUUACCAUUAUCCAAGAUUGUUGAUGAAUACUACCAUAUGUUGUAUCAAUAAGUAAAGUUCAUAUCUUUUCCAAACAGAGCAAACUACUUAAAAGAAUGAUUUUUGAUAUGUUUUUGGAUUCGAGUCAGAUAUGAAUUACUAAUUUAAUAUCUAGUGAAGAAUUGUUCCAAUCCACUACAUUUUUUAAAUAGAAAUAGAAUGAAAAGAACAUUUACUAAAUCCUUUGUAACAAAAACUAUCUGCUCAAGAAGCGGAAGUCAACAAUACACUGAAAAAGUAUUAAAAAUGACAUGUCUUCUAAUUGGACUCACUGUCAAAUUUCUCGUCAGAUUUCGAGGAACAAACCGACAAAGAAGUUUAUUCAUGUCCUAGAAGGAAUAAACACAGAGAACGGAAAGAAGGACUAGGAAUGAAAAAGAUAACGUAGAAAUGG
rnacentral:lncRNA from 1 species